rnacentral:lncRNA from 1 species
CCUGAUAUGUGCCUUGUUUUGAUAGCACUCCUCGCUGCGUCACUUGUGUACUGCGUGUUCGUGAUGACAUACACCAGAAGAGGUGCGCGGCGUUGGCCGCCGGGCCCCUGUCCGUGGCCCAUAGUCGGCCACCUCCUCCACCUUCGCGGCGGUAACCUCCAUCUCAACCUCGCGCGCAUGGCGCUCGCCCAUGGCCCCGUCAUGACGCUCAAGCUGGGCGUGGUGACCACCGUGUUUGUGUCCUCCCGGGACGCGGCAUGGGACGCCUUUGCCAAGCAUGACCGCCGCAUCNGUCCUGUACCACGGCAUGUUCGACCUGCUGACCAACACACUCUUCUCCGUCGACGGCCAGGACCAGCUGAGGGACCUUCUGGAGGACAUCGUGGGUCUUCUCGCCGAGCCCAACGUGUCGGACUUGUACCCAUUGCUCCGGGUGCUGGACCUGCAGGGCCUUCGCCGGUGGACGACCACGCACAUGAACCGCGUCUUCCAUGUGAUGGACAAGAUCAUCGACACCCGGCUGGGACUGGGCCUGGGCGAGGGCAAGCAUCACCACCACCACGACGUCCUCGACGCCCUCCUGGCGCUCAUGACCACCGGCAAGCUGAGCCGCCGCGAUGUGAAAGCCAUGUUAUUCGACAUCCUGGCGGCGGGCACGGAGACAACCAAGAUCACGGUGGAGUGGGCCAUGGCGGAGCUGAUGCGGAACCCGGACGUUAUGGCGGCGGUGCGCGCCGAGAUGAAGGCCGCCCUCCCGCAGGAGAUGGUGAUCACGGAGGCAGACGUGGCGAAGCUGCCGUACCUGCAGGCCGCGGUGAAGGAGUCGAUGCGGCUGCACCCCGUGGCGCCGCUGCUGCUACCACGCAUGGUGGUGGAGGAGGGCGUCGAGAUAGGCGGCUACGCCGUGCCCAAAGGCGCCACCCUGAUCUUCAACUCGUGGUCCAUCAUGCGCGACCCGGCGGCAUGGGAGAGGCCCGACGAGUUCGUGCCGGAGCGUUUCUUGGGGAAGACGGAGCUCGGCAUGUGGGGGAAGGAGGUCAAGUUCAUCCCGCUGGGCAGCGGACGAAGGCUCUGCCCGGCAUUGCCCAUGGUGGAGCUCCUCGUGCCCUUCAUGGUCGCAUCCAUGCUGCAUGCUUUCCAGUGGAGGCUGCCCGAGGGCAUGUCACCUCACCAGGUCGACGUCACCGAAAGGUAUACAAGCGACGAUAUCCUCGUCAUGGACGUGCCUCUCAAGCUUGUGCCCAUGGUCNNNNNNNNNNNNNUGCAUGCUUUCCAGUGGAGGCUGCCCGGGGGCAUGUCACCUGACCAGGUGGACGUGACCGAAAGGUAUACAAGCAACAAUAUCCUCGUCAUGGACGUGCCUCUCAAGCUUGUGCCCAUGCUCGCCGUCUAGUCGCUCACUCCAUCUCUGAGUACUUUAUUACCUUCUACGUACUUUCUAUUGGUUUAAUGGCGAUGCAUCCUAGUCACUGUAUUGGUUUGCAUGGCGAUGAACAUGCAUGUAUGCAUCCUCAGUCAAUCGUUGGAAAUCUAUGGUUAUCUUGAAUAAGUUAAUUCCACAUGCACAUGGAUAUCUUGAAUAAGUUAAUUCCACAUGCACAUGGCUAUCUUGAAUAAGUCAUUUAUUUUUAUUUUUUAUUUUCAUGUGUAUGUACAUCAUAUGUAGACAUAUGUCUGCACAAUUUAUGUUGAACUACACAGCGGCGCCGCAUAUUUGACUUCCGAUGCAGCGGCUCAUCUCAUCUAUUUUUUCCAUGUAUGGAGCAAUACACAAGUAUGACAUCAUCAAAUAUUCUUUUUAUUUGCAUUUUCAAAAAGAUUUAUCUCCCAAACCGUUAUGUCAAUUGAUGAUCCGUUUUCACAAUUGGCUUUCUCGCGAUGAGAUCUUCAAAACUAGAUCUCAUGUUAACGUAUUUUGAUAACUUUUUUUUCGUCGAUACUUGUCAGAAUACUGUUACUUACUUGUCACAUUAUUAUUCACUUAGUUGUCAAAUUAAAUCAUCUUGGUUGUCAGCUUGAUGAACAUCAAUAAAAACCAUUAAAAAACUUGAAGCAUGGUACUUUUGCAUCUCUAUCUUUUUUUUACCAAUUUAAUGCCCACUCUGUGGCUUCACAUAGCACUGCAAUGCUUUAAAAAUAUAUAAAAUGUUUCUGUAACUAUGUAUAACUUUUAUGACAACAGUAGAUGUGUAAUAUGACAACUAUGAUGAUGUAAUUGUGGCAAUCCAUAACGCAUGAAAAAAUUUCAUCAAAACAUGUCAAUAUAGGAUCUUGUUUUGAAGGCCUCGUCGAGACUAACAUAGCGGUGGAAACGGAUCUCUAAUCGAAUUAUUGGUUUGUGAGAUAAAUCAUUUUUAAGAUUCAAAAAAAUAUAAUGAUGAUACCCGUAUCAGGUAGAAGAUUCCGGUAAGCAUACAUGUCAACUCUAUAUUUUAUAUAAAUAUAAAAUUGCAUUGAACAAUGGAUAGUAACUACAUAAAAAAAAUGCAUACAUGCAUGCAUGCAUGGCACAAGCCGUCACAUGGAAAUGACCUAGUGCUGCUGGCUCAUUAGAACUUACCAUUUAUGUUGUAAUCCAAUUAAUGAUGUUACUAUUUUAAUUCAGAGCCAAUAAUUUCACUGACCCGCGUGCUUCAAGUUGAAGACAAACAGAUUUACCAUUCUAUGAUGACCGUCAUCUAUAAUAAUCAUGCAUUAGUCCAUGUUUUCUUUUUGUGGAACACAUGUACAAUAAAAACUAACUAUGUUCCAAAUCUCAUGACCUCAUUCUACCUGUUUUCUAUUGGUUUGCAUGGCGAUGCAUGCAUCUCGUCAUCGUAUUGGUACCUGCAUGCAUGUCACUGAAUUGGUUUGCAGGGCGAUGAACAUGCAUGUAUGCAUCGUCAGUCAUUCGUUGGAAAUCUAUGGAUAUCUUCAAUAAGUUAAUUCUACAUGCACAUGUACAUGGAUAUCUUGAAUAAGUCAUUUCUUUUUAUUUUUUAUUUUCAUGUGUAUGGACAUCACAUGUAUACAUAUGUCUCGACUGAUAGAUCUUUGGAUCCGAUAAACCGGUGAUUCCGGUAGUGGUGGUGGGUUUUACCUUGUCCUGUGCUCGAGGAACUCGAGCCUGACGCCAUCGCAGAGGGGCGACGGCGAUGACAGCAGAGAGAGGUGGUGGCGUCGGUGGUGCUUCCUGUGAGCACCGCGCUAACCCUACAUUGAUAGGGCGUGUAGGUGGGGAAAGUGGCGGCGACGAACCUCGUAUGUCGUGUCCCGGCUCCCCACCUCUGGUAAUAUAGCGCGGGUCACAGAUGCCCACCGACCAUAACGGGUUGGAUGCCUCCGAUCAGGACGCAUAUGGAUCAAGGGUCCGGUGGGCCGUUGGGCCCACGCGGAGAGAUCAACCUAACAUUCUCCCCCUUGAUCUCAACUUUACUUUAACUUUAUACUUUCUAGUUUCUUUGUUCCAUCACAUAUUGACAUGUAGAGCAUGUCUCAUCAUCACAACUUAAUUGUUGGUAGAAUCAUACAACCACAACAUACGUUUUGUUUUGAAACAAAUUCUGUUACUUUUGGGCCUCUUAUGAUCCAGGAAUCAUAGGCUUUCCCUUAAACCCAUGCUGGCUAAGUGUUCCUUGAACACACUGGAUAAUAAGCCUUUCGUUAACAGAUCCACAAGCAUAUUCUUUGUACUUAUAUGCUCGAGACUUAUAGUGUGAUCCUGAAUUUUAUCUUUCCCACCAUAGUACUUUAUAUCUAUUGUCCUGGAAGCAUUACUAGACUUGUUGUUGUGAGCAUAAAAUACUGCGGGCUGGUUGUCACAGUAUAUCUUUAGUGGCUUGUGAAUACAGUCUACCACUUUCAAGUCGGCUAUAAAUUUCUUUAACCGUAUCACCUGCCCGGUGGCUUCAAAACAUGAUAUAAACUCUGCUUGCAUCGUUGACGAUGCAACUAUGGUGUGUUUGGAGAUUUUCCAUGAAAUAGCCCCUCUAGCGAGAGUGAACACGUAUCCUGACGUGGGUUUUCUAUCAUCUCUAUCUCCCGCAAAAUCUGCGUCUGAAUACUCUUUUAUCUCUAGGGAAUCAGAUCUUCUGUAUGUUAGCAUGAUAUCCUUUGUGCAUUGCGCAUAACACAAUUCUUUCUUUGCCAUAUUCCAGUGCUCUAGACCUGGAUUCACUUGAUAUCUACCGAGUACUCCGGUGAUAAAAACUAAGUCAAGGCGUGUGCACACUUGUGCAUACUGUAAACUUCCAACAUCCAAAGUAUAUGACACUGUUUUCAUCUAAUCGAGCUCGUACUGGUUCUUGGGACAUUGGUAAUUCCCAAAACUAUCGCCCUUGACUAUAAGAGCAGGUGUGGCCUUACUCACAUGCAUAUUGUACUUUUUGAGAACCUUCUCUAAAUAUGUUUUCUGCGACAGUCCUAAGACUCUAUUUUUCCUAUCUCGGUGAAUUUUAAUGCCCAAAACAUAUGAAGCAUCACCAAGGUCUUUCAUAUCAAAGUUUGAGGAUAAAAACUUCUUUGUCUCUUGUAGUAAACUAACACCAGUGCUUGCAAGCAAGAUAUCAUCCACAUACAAGAUUAGGAAAAUGUAUUUCCCAUUUUUAAACUUUGCAUAAACGCAGUUAUCCUCAACAUUUUCUUGAAAUCCAAAUCUUUUAGUAGUAUCACUAAACUUUAGAUACCACUGUCUAGAGGCUUGCCUUAGUCCAUAAAUGGAUUUCUUUAGACGGCAUCCCAUAUCUUCCUUGCCUUCCAUGAUAAAACCCUUUGGGUUGUUUCAUGUAGACAUUUUAUUCUAAAUCUUCGUUUAGAAAUGUCGUCUUUACAUCCAUUUGAUGCAACUCUAAAUCAAAAUGUGCAACUAAUGCCAUUAUGAUUCUGAAGGAAUCCUUACAUGAGACUGGGGAAAAAGUCUCGUUGUAGUCUAUCCUUUCUCUUUGUGUAAAUCCUUUUGCGACGAGUCGUGCUUUAUACUUUUCUAUAUUCCCAUUAGAGUCAUACUUUGUUUUGUAGACCCACUUACAUCCUAUUGUUUUGGCUCCUUUAGGAAUAAUUUCUAAGUCCCAAACAUCGUUGGAACUCAUCGAUUUCAUCUCGUCUUCCAUUUCCUCCAGCCACUUCGAUGAGUGGGGGCUUCUCAUCGCUUCUUCAUAUGAAGUGGGAUCACCUUUCAUAUGAACCAAUUCUGUGUUAUAAACUUUAUAAUCAGCAGAAAUUGUUGAUCUUGUUAUUCUGUUAGACCUUCCAAGUGCCUCAUUCUCUGGCACAUACUCUAAAAUUGGUUGUUGUGCCUCCCUUUCAUGCUCAACAACAGGUUCAAUCGGAUCGUAAAGGAAAGGUUCCGGAUCUUCUCCCAUAGUUGUCAUGGUUGGAGUUACAACAGCUAGUGCGAAAAAUGGCUCUUGAAUCAUCGGAUUAGGUGCAUGCACCCUCUUCUCCUCAAGAUCAAUUUUCCGAGCUACCAUGCCCCCCCUCAUCAUGGCGUCCUCUAAGAAGACUGCAUGUCUUGUUUCUACAAACUUUGUGUAUCUUUCUGGACAGUAGAAACGAAAACCUUUUGAUCUAUCAGGAUAGCCAAUGAAGUGGCAACUCACUGUUUUGGGAUCUAACUUUGCAAUAUUUGGAUUAAACAUCUUGGCCUCAGCUGGACAUCCCCACACUUUGAAGUGUUGCAAGGAUGGUACUUUUCCUGUCCGCAGUUCGUACGGUGUUUUGGGCACCGACUUGCUUGGUACUCUAUUGAGAAUGUGAAUGGCGGUUUUAAGCGCCUCCAUCCAUAAUCCCAAUGGCAGGUUGGAGUAACUCAUCAUGCUGCGCACCAUAUCCAUAAGGAUACGGUUACGCCUUUCAGCUACUGCAUUUUGCUGAGGCUCGUCCGGCAUUGAAUACUGGGCUACUAUGCCAGUCUCCUACAAGAACUUUCCAGAAUGUCCAGGGACUUGGCCAUAUGGACUAUGUCGAUGAUGACCCACAAGUAUAGGGGAUCAAUCGUAGUCCUUUCGAUAAGUAAGAGUGUCGAACCCAACGAGGAGCAGAAGGAUCUGACAAGUGGUUUUCAGCAAGGAAAUAUCUGCAAGCACUGAAAUUAUCGGUAACAAGUGAUUGUGUGGUGAGAUGAUUCGUAGCAAGCAACAAGUAACAAAAGUAGAAACGGUGCAGCUGUGACAGCCCGAGACCGACGUUCCAGAAGAUUCCCCUUCUAUUCCGUUUUCGUCGUGUGGCUUAUUUUAUUUGUGGCAUCAUCAUCGCAUCAUUCACAUCAUCUGCAUUGCAUCGACAUCUCCGUUGCCGCCCGUUUUCAAAACUUGCAUCCGUUGUUAGUUGCCGGUUCUCGUCGUUGUCCGUUCUGAGCCUGACCGCACUCGCACGCGCCCGCGGCAUCGUCGAAAUCCCUGUUUUUCAAAGUGUGCGUAAAACUUUUUUUGAUGGGGUUGAGAUUUGACGUGUGGUCUUAUUUUAAUAUAGGGAGGCCGCCUGUCAAGUUUCGUCGUGAUCGGAGUCCGUCUGGUACCCGAACGGUCGACCGUAGCGGCAUCGUAUUCGGUCUACCGUCGGACGAUUAUCGGUGUUUUAAAAAAUUGUUGCCGCGUCGCCCGUUUUCCCUCCCGUCUCCGGUUAACUACCCUACACAGCCACUUAACCGUUCCCGCAUGCGGAAUCGUCCGAAUCCGACCGCACUGUUGGAUCCGGAACGCAAUUCCGGUUAACCUAGCCCCCAAUUUGUCUAUAUAUAGGACCUCCUCCUAUUAUUUUGGACACCCAAACCCUCCUGCCUCGUUUUCCGUGCCCCACCUACCCCUAACCCUAGCCAGAUCCACAGCCUCCCACCCACCAGCUGCCACGGGCCCGCCGAGCCCAGAUCGGGCCCGGGCAGGCCCAUCGGGCCACCGCCGCCGCAGCGUUCUAGCAUGCCCGAGGGAGGUCCCCUGCUCUCGAGGGAUUGCCUCGACCUUGCCAGGCCGCCCUCGUCGUCGGCCUGCCCCGUGACCCGCGCCUGAGCCGCCGGCCGAGACCUUCAAGCGCCGCCGCCAUGUCCACCUUCGUCGCCGGCCAGGACCCCCCAUGGUCGCCGCUCGCUGCCAGCCCCCUGCAACGCCCGCCUUCCGCCAGAUCUGGCAAGCCGCCACCGGAUCCGGCCACCGCGCCCCCCGCUGGUCCCGCCGCAGCCCACACCGGUCUCCUGCGGGAUUCUCCUCCCCGUCCGACGGCAGGUAUCAGCGCCGCCAUGUCCCGUGCCCUCGGGCACGACGGGCACAACGAGGAGCUGCCUCGCCCCGACCGACACCCCCUCGGCCUCGCCGCCCUGGGCCUCGCCCGCGGCCUAGUGCGUCCCUGCACCCCCGUGGGCCUUAGCCCCGGUUCAGCAGCAGCAGGUACCAGGUCGCCCCGAGCCGGCCGAGGCCUCGGCCGGCCUCCUCCCAAGCGCCAGGCCAGGAGGCCCAACCAAGGUGAGCCUGAGGCUAUUCCCCGCCUCAGCUUUUGUUGUUAUGUUGCGGCCAGUUCGGCCCGUAAGAGUAUUUAGGGAUUUUCGAAUUUUAUUUGAAUUCCAGAAAAAUAGACGAAUAUAUAAUGCCCGUAUCUUUUAAUCCGUAAAUUGGAUCGCGACAUGUAGCAUAUGGAUUUCGCGUAGUUUUGCGCGUAGAAUACGUUGGUGCAACUUGCAUAUUUGUUUGUUGUAGUUUAGCGUGCCUAAUGCCUAGUUUUGCGUGCUGUCUUAAUAGUAUAGUUGCCCGUAUAUAUUUUCGCGUGUGUCCGUAUUGCUCGCAUGCCGCAGUAGAAAUGUCCAUGUUUUAGGAACCACUUUUCCGUAUAUUUUAGAGUAGACGUUGGUAUUUUUGCAUGUAGGGAUUUGCCGCUAGUUUAUUUGCCGUGUAUAAGUUAUUAUCUCGCAUUUACGUGUGGUAUUAUUUUUGUUGUGCACCCCCACAUAGAGAGUUGUUCUUUGAUGUUUAGUCUAGCCCUUGAUAUUUUUAGUUGCAAUAGAAAUGCAUGUUUAGGUGUGGUUUGCUUGCUCAAGUUGCUUGAAAUAGUGCUGAUUUGGAGGUGCUGAAAUAUUUCCAAGUCUGGAAUCUGUUAUAUUUUGUUGCUGUUUUGUUUUGCUUCUAUCUUGUGUUAUGUAGCUCUUUUGAGGUUGGUCCAAUGGAGUUAGUUGUAUACCUUGUGAUUCUCUAACAUGCUGUGAAUUUUCAUGCCAUUUGGAGACUUGUAGCUUAUGAUUUUUCUGUUAUCAAUAUGCCUUCAGACCAAAAACUGUACUUUCAUGAAGUGUUAUUUUCUCUAAGUCUGAAACUGCGUGUGAGAAACAAUUUUGUGAUUUCUUUUCCUAGUGUUCCUUGAUGCCAAGCUAGUUGUUGUUAGUUGUUUGUGGUAGUGCUUCUUGGCCUCUUUCGUGUCAUGCCUUGGUUGAGUUUAUAGGAGUUGAGUAGCUCGUAGCUGUGGGGUGUAGAAAAUGCUAUGUGGCUGUUUUUGGCAGAUCGUAGUGUUUUCUUGUUUUGCUCGUAGAUGUUGAACCGUAGCUCCGUUUUGAUCGUGCCCUAUAUGAAACUUGCUUAAAAUGUCGUGUAGUUUCAUUUUCCCUUGCUGGCUGUAUGUUUUGAAGUGCUCGUGACCGUCGUUGCACACAUAUUGCAUUCAUGCCAUCAUAUCUUGCGGUGCUUGUAUCUUUUGAACCGUAGCUCCGUUGGAGAUGUUCUUUAUGUGUAGAUUUCUUGAAAUGACGCGUAGAAUCACGUGAACCUAUUUGUUUUGCUGUUUAACAACUAAUUAAAUGUGUUAGUUCAGAUCUGGACAGAAUUGUAAAUUAACAUGUGAGGUCGUCUCGGAGAUGCUAUAUGUCGUUUCCGACCUCAUUUAAAAUGCCUAGAUAGGUAGUUUAAUUACGCUUCACCUCUUGCCAUGUUUAACCACAUUUAAUAUCGUCGUGUACCUAAUCGGGAUAGAACUAAAUCAUUAAACGUGGAGUUUCGUCAAUAUGCAACCCGUUGCAUAUUGAACUUCACUUAAUUGUCAUGCCGUGACCUGCAUGUUUUCAGCUGUUCAUGCAUCAUUUGUGUUGUGCAUCGCGUGGUGAAUUCCGUGUGUUGAUUUGUGUUUCCGGUUUGCUUCGUCUCGAUAGAGUGCCGCAGCGUGCCGGAUUGUGAGGACCCGUUCGACUACGUCGGUUCGUCUGCUUCACGGAGUCAUUCUUCUUCUCAGCGGGAUCUCAGGCAAGAUGACCAUUUCCCCAGAUACCAUUACUAUCAUUGCCAUGCUAGUUUUACCGUUGCUACCGUUUAUGUCUCGUUGCCUACCACAUGUUAAUUAUCAGCCUCUCAACAAUGCCAUGAAACCUUCAACUGUUCACAACCUAGCAAACCACUGAUUGGCUAUGUUACUGCUUGCUUAACCUUGUGUUAGCAUUGCUAGUUGCAGGUGCAGUUGCUUCCAUGGGAAAACAUGGGUUCCUUGUUAUAUCACCAUAUUAAAUGCUAUUUAAUUUAAUGCACCUAUAUACUUGGUAAAAGGUGGAAGGCUCGGCCUUUCUAGCCUGGUGUUUUGUUCCACCUUUGCCCCCUUAGUUUUUCGGCUACAUGUAUUAUGUUCCAUAAAUGAGCGCUCCUAACACGAUCGGGGUUGUUAUGGGGACCCCCUUGAUAAUUCGUUUUAGAUUAAAGCUGGUCUCGCAAGGCCCAACUUUGGUACUACAUUUUCCUAAUCACCUAACAAAAUUGCAUAGGGACUUUCCGGACCCCAAGGAUAAUUUAAUCAACCCCCGAGCCAAUGCUCCUCAUGAGUGUUGGUCCCACCUGAGCGAUGUCCGGCGCCCCUCUGGUCACCCAGAGGUUUAGCGAUCCCGACGUCUAGCUCAUCCGUCGUGUCCUGAGAACGAGAUACGCGGCUCCUAUCGGGAUCGUCGACACGUCGGGCGGUCUUGCUGGAUUAGUUUUACCUUUGACGAAAUAUCUUGUGCAUCGGGAUUCCAGUGAUGCUUUGGGUAAUCUCAAAGUUGAGGUUUUCCACUAGGGAAUCCGACGAGAUCGCGAGCUUCGUGAUUGAGGAUUUCAAUGCGGCUUGUGGUAAUUUGUGAUGGACUAGUUGGAGUAUCCCUGCAGGGUUAAAUCUUUUCGGAAAGCCGUGCCCGCGGUUAUGUGGCAACGUGGAAGCUUUGUUUAACACUGGUUCUAGAUAACUUGAAGUUAACUUAAUUAAAAUAUGCCAACUGUGUGCGUAACCGUGAUUGUCUCUUUCGUGAGUUCCUUCUCCGAUCGAGGACACGGUGGGGUUAUGUGUGACGUAGGUAGGUGUUUAGGAUCAUUCAUUUGAUCAUCAGUAGUUCACGUCCGUUAUGCGUAGAUCACUCCCCCUCUUAUUUCUUGUACUCGUAAGUUUAGCCAUCAAAUAUAUGCUUAGCCGCUGCUGCAACCUCACCACUUAACCAUACCUCACCCAUUAAGUUUUGCUAGUCUUGAUACCUUUGGAAAUGAGAUUGCUGAGUCCCCUGUGGCUCACAGAUUACAACGUUGCAGGUGCAGGCUGAUCCAUGUGUUAACAUGGGCCUUUGAAUAUCAUCUUAUUACUGCUGUUUAAUUUAAUGCACCUAUAUACUUGAUAAAAGGCGGAAGGGUUGGCCUCUUGCUCGGUGUUUUGUUUCGCUUUUGCCGUCAUAGUUUCGGUUACCGGUGUUAUGUUCCAUGUUGAGCGCUCCUAACACGCUUUGGGUUGUUAUGAGGACUCCCUUGAUAAUUCGCUUUGAGCUAAGGUUCUUCCGACAAGGUCCAACAUUGGUACUACAUUUGCAAAACAACUUAAUACUCCAUCCGCUUCUUUUUACUCCGCGUAUAAGAUUUGGUCAAAGUCAAACAACAUAAAGUUUGACCAAAUUUAUAUAAAAAUAUAUAAAUAUCUACUAUAUUAAAAUUAUAUAGUAUGAAAAUACAUCUCGUGGUGCAUCUGAUAAUAUUGAUUUCAUGUUGUGAAUGUUGAUAUUUUUUAAUAUAAAGUUAGUCAAACUUUACAAAGCUUGACUUUGACCAAACCUUAUAUGCAGACUAAAAAGAAACGGAGGGAGUAAAAAUCAUACGGAAUAUCUACCCCAAGGACAAUUAAUCAACAACCAGGGCCAAUGCUCAUCAUGAGUGUUGGUCCAAAACGGGCUGCCUGCGGGGCCACCGCGAGGAAACUCGAGGUUUGGUUUUACUUGUAGCUAGACCCAUCCGGUAGUGCCCUGAGAAAAAGAUACGCGCGGGUCCUAUUGGGAUCAGACUUGCCGGGCCGUCUUGCUGGAUUCGUCUUACUUUUAGCGAAUGUCUUGUGACUGGGAUAUUAGUGAUACUUUGGGCUUUCUCGAGGUUGAGGUUUUCUCUCUAGAGCAGUUUGUGGUAGUUUGUGAUGGACUAGUUGGAGCACCCAUACAGGGUUAAUAUCUUUCGGAAAGCCGUGCCCGCGGUUAUGUGGCAACUUGGAAACUUUAUUUAACAUCCGAUUAUAGAUAACUUGAAAUAAACUUAAGUAAAAAUAUGCCAACUGUGUGCGUAAACGUGACUGUCUUUGUCGCGAGCUCCUUCUCCGACUGAGGACACGGUGCGGUUAUGACUGACGUAAGUAGGUGUUUAGGAUCACUUAGUGAUCAUGAUGUAGCUCCGGCCGUCAUGCGCCGACCAUUCACUUUACAUUUUGUUCUCGUAAGUUAACCACCAUAUAUGCUUAGUGCUGCUGCAACCUCAACACUUAUCCUUGCACACCCAAUAAUUUGAUUAGUUUCGGUAUCAUGGUCGCAAGAUUGCUCAGUCCUUGUGACUCACCGAUUACUACAACAUCACAAGUCCAGGUACCGUAGAUCCAGAGGUGUUUGACGCUACACAGCUUUAGUGAGAGUUCGAUGAAGGCAGUGGCCGCAUGUACGUGACGUAUCCUGAUGAUUAGAGGACCUUGGUUGUCACCUAGGCUAGUGAGACAGGUUCAUUGCUUUUGUCGUUUAUCUUGUCCGUAGUCGGACCCUGUCUUAUGGAUGAUUUGAAAUAAAUCUUGUGUGGCUUGUAACUUAACUUGUGAUGAGUGUAAGUCAUUUCAUAUACUCAUCUCUUCAUGUAUGUAUUGUGAUGAUUUCUAUACUUACGAAACGCUAAGAUGCGCCUCUUUCUAUAUCAAGUCCUCGUCCCCAAAUAUGAAAAGUGCGGCAUCUUGGAUGUUAUAUUCAGAAAGCCCUCCAAUCUGCUCGAUUUGUUUCUCUUGGUGUAUGUAUGCGCAAAAUGAUAGGUGCAAAUGUGAGGUGCCUGCCAAGUUGUUUAUAAUCACACAAUUAUAAUAGUAAGAUGAUAUUCAAAUUGCUUAAGAUGUGCUUUAAGUAUUAACUAGGCAAUCUCCUAGUGAAGGAUGGCAUGUAUUACUCUUGUUUGGGAUUUGUGGCUAGAAAGUAAAUCUUCCGCAUCAUGUAGACCAUAUGUAUCUUCUGUGAUUACAAUGAUCUUUUUUUUUGCUAAGUAUUAGAUUCUUGAUAGUUUAAUAUGCUUAUUGACUGGCAGAUUGUGCAUCCUACCAAGGAGUUCCUACCAAGGAGUAGCAUGCAUCCUCGCUCGUGGUCAUGGCUUGCUGUUGCUGUCGAACGAACAAAAAAGUUGUACCUACAAUGAAUGAAACCAUACACGUGCAAGCGGCCGGCCAAGGAUGCACGGAGUCCGGGACAUCUUUAGUCUCGUUUGUUGUUACAAACUGGGACUAAAGAUCCAUCUCUAGUUCCGAUUGAUAAUACCAACAAAAUAAAAUGGGUUCAUUUGUUCCCAGCCUGACGUCAACCUGUCAUCAUCCUUUUAGUUUCGGUUUAUACUAUCAACCGGAAUAAAGGUCACAAAUGAACCAGGAUUAAUGGUGGCCGUGUCCCCGUCCGCUUCUAACCGUUGGGACCGGGACUACGGAACACAUUAGUCCCGGUUUAAAAUUCAACCGAAACUAAUGCUAUGGGCGAAAGGCGUAUUUUUUUACUAGUGAGGACGCGUACCUUUUUUUAUAUAGGAUAUUAAUAAAGUUUAAAUUGUCCAUACAUAUGUAUACAUGUGAUGUACAUCCACAUGAUUUUUUUUUGACUUAUUCAAGAUAUCCAUUUGCAUGUAGAAUUAACUUAUUCAAAAUAUCCAUAGAUUUCCAACGAAUUGACUGACGAUGAAUACAUGUAUGUUCAUCGCCAUGCAAACCAAUAAGGUGACAUGCAUGCAUCGCCAUGCAAACCAAUACGAAAAUACGUAGUACUCCGUAGAACGGAAGUAAUAAAGUACUCAGCGAGAGUGACGGACUAGACGGCGACCAUGGGCACAAGCUUNNNNNNNNNNNNNNNNNNNNNNNNNNNNNNNNNNNNNNNNNNNNNNNNNNNNNNNNNNNNNNNNNNNNNNNNNNNNNNNNNNNNNNNNNNNNNNNNNNNNGCACUAGAUGCACUUACACGACUUACCCGGAACGAUUCCGUGGAAAACCGUGGUUGAAGGCAUCAGGUCUUUUUCCAAUAAGUUCAUCCUUUGGAAAGUGUCAAAAUAUAAGAUAUUAAUGCUGCUGCCACCAUCCAUUAGCACUUUGGACAGGGUAUAACCCCCAACUUGGGGAGCCACGACCAACGCUAAAUCGCCUGGGUUGUCAACUCUUGGCGGGUGAUCCUCCCUGCUCCAUGAUAUGGUUUGCUCAGACCAAUGGAGGUAUCUGGGAAGCGCCGGUUCAGAUACACUGUAUGCCUGGUGGCUCACAUUUUUAUGGCGCAUGCAAGCAUUGGUGGUGAAAACAUGAUACUGCCCAUUACUUAACUGUUUGGGGUUGCUGCAGAAACCCCCGUUAUCAUCCUGACCCUGCGGAGCCCCCUGUGGGGGUGGCUGCUGAAAAGCUCCUGGCGGGUUAUACCGCCGCUGGUGGUGCACCGGGUACUGGCCGCCGCCUGGCUGUGGACCUCCCUGAGCCCCCUGUUCAGGAAAGCCGCCAAAGGGGUUCUGUCGUUGGUUGGGUGCGGCAAACUGCUCCUGGCGCUGGUCCGGGUCAUCGUUUUGACUUUUCUUGAUCGCCUCCGCCCGAAACUCCCGCAUUACGAAGCAAUUCUCCCAGGAGUGAGUCGCCGGACCGUCUGCCGUGGCAUGGUGCGGGCAAGAGACUUUGAGUAGCUCUUCAUAGUUACGCGGCCUCUUCCCGCUAAACCCCCUGUUUUUCUUCUGGCGUUGGUUGCCAUUGUUGGCGUUGGUAUUGGCGACUAAGUCCGAGGGCUCCUCUUGCGGUCUUCGCUUUCCAUUGGCCCCUUGAUUGUGGCGGUUACGUCCCUGGAACCGGGUAUGGUUUUUGGAUGACUCGCCCUUCUUGGGCGAAUUGGACUUACCGUCCUCACCAGGAUCUUUGGUGCCAUCUGCCUCAGCGUACCUAGUGAGGGUGUCCAUCAGCUCUCCCAUGUCUUGGACCUUUCGUUUGAGUCGCCCCAAUUUUUGCACCAAGGGUUCGUAAUGGCAAUUCUGCUCGAGAAUCAGCACAGCCUGAGCCGCCGUAAUUCCAUCUGACGAAUGGAUAACUUCUGCAACUCGCCGUGACCAAUGGUGAGCCGACUCAUCGGGGCGCUGAACACAGUGAUGCAGAUCGACGAUCGUCAUCGGGCGUUUGCAAGUUCCUCGGAAGUUUUUGAUGAAACGCUCUUUUAACUCGGCCCAGGUCUAGAUGGAGUUGGGAGGUAAGUUUUUCAACCAAGUACGGGCUGACCCCUCAAGCAUCAUCGUGAAGUAUCUGGCGCAAACCGCCUCGUUUACGUCGAGCAUGUCCAUGGCGAUUUCAUAACUCUCGACCCAUGAUGUUGGCUCAAGGUCCGGGGUGUAAUUAGGCACCUUUCUUGGUCCCUUAAAAUCUUUGGGCAUCCUUUCGUUACGAAGGGCGGGGGCGAAGCAUUGCACCCCUACUCGCCCUCCGCCCCCGACGAGGGGGCCGGGGCGACUUGGGUGUUCGGGAGAUCCCAACCCGGCGGGUUCUGAUCAGGCGGGUUGUCCUGUGGGACGGGUCGCAUCCCGCUGUUUACGGCAGGCUGGUCCUCUGGUCGACUCCUGGUGUAACUCGCCUGGGGGGUGGAAUGCAACCUCUCGAGGCUGUGUGAGAACUGGGCGUUUUGAACCACCGCCGUCUUCAACAUCUCGAUGGCGUUCCUUGCUUCUAUCUCGGCAGGAGUGUUUCCGUGAAUCGGAAGAGAUUCCAGAUGGCGAGUUGCGGCAAGGACGUUGUCCACCGGGUUGGAAAAGUGGCCUUGAGGCGUCCGGAAUUGGGGAAUGCGAUCUUCAAACGGCGGAACCGGCGGGUUAGGCGGGCGACCCGGCCCUCCCCCGGGCGGCUCCCGCCCCACGGGUUCGUGGAGUGUCGAACAGGCGGGUCGGGUUAAGGUCAUGGGGCAGGCGACCCUGGUGUCUCCGUUGAUGGACGGCGUCAGAUGCGCGCUGUUGUCUUUCGAGCCGCCAGUUGUCAGUGUUUAAACGCAUCCUUUCGGCCGUAAUUUGAGCUUGCCGAGUCUCGAUCCUGGCAGACUCCACCUCGGUAUCCCGAUGAGCCUUUGCCACUGCCUUUUUGAGUUUUUCCAACUCCGUGUUUAUAUCCUCCUGGUUUUCUGGUGUAAGGGGAGUCGCCAUCAGCCUUGUGAUCUCCGCAGCUAAAUCCACCAGGACUACGGCCGGGCUUCUGGACGUCUCGCCGGCUCCAUCGCCUCCGGUAGAGUUUUGUGUGGGUUGAGUCGCCCCUACCAUGUAGAUGGAGAUCUGACGGCGGGUUUGGUCAAGGACUUCAGGGUCCAUGGCCAGCGACAAGCCCCCAAGACAAUCCCCAUGCAGAGACCGGAUUGAAUCUGAAUCGCCCAUGGAUGAUUCGUCAUCAGAGUUGACCGGUGUAGUUUCCUGAGUCGCUGAGCGCUCUGGCUCCUCCGAUCCCUGCGUGAACCCCACAAAGACUGGGCGAGUCAGAUACGGCGUUAUCACUGGGCGGACGUACCUAGCCGGCUCGACGAUGUCGGUGGAGAUGUCCGGCUCAGGAAAGGAUGAUCCGAUCAUGCCGAUGAAGAUGUUGAUCUUGCCGAAAGGGACCCUGUAACCAGAUUCGAUUGAAUCCGCUUCAGGACCCCAUCGCUGGUUGUCGAUGUAGGUUUUCCCGCGGCGACUCCGUGUCAUGAGCCCCGUCGCGUAACUCCCAAACCCGGGUAGGGCUCCCUUUGAGAACUCAACUCCACCGUGCGUAGGCCCCACGGUGGGCGCCAACUGUCGUGGUUUUGUCACGGCAUAUGUCCUCGUGAAAGGACUUAGUACUGGAGCCAUCGCACCCUGGUGGCGACUCAAAGGGGUUAAGCGGGAGAGACACGGCGAUUUACCCAGGUUCGGCCCCUCCGAGAAGAGGUAAUAGCCUACGUCCUGCUUUGUGUGUAUUGAUGUGGAUUCGAUUACAAGGGAGGCGUAACUCGCCCUAACCUAGCACUCGAUGAUUUCUAACCUGCCUCUUCCUCCCUAAACCCGCCUUUAUAUAUAGGUCGAGCCCUUAGGGUUUAGAAGAGUCCUUUCCUCCUUACAAAUCAUGAACACCGCGGUCUCCAAGUCACCACCUUGCCAAUCCUGGAAACCUGCCGUAAAUCAUAUCCAUCUUGGAACGUCGAACCGUCCAGGCAGAAGCCCAACUAACCUUUAAAGGGUGAAUCGCCCUAUAGGUAACCCGGCCCAUAACUGGCGGGUCACUUAAUAGAUAAUAUCUCCAACAUUAAUGAAGCGUUUAACAAGAGACCGGAGAAUAGGAAGGGGCGAUGGAAUAAAUUACAGUGGAUAUUGCACUAUUUCCUUUGCUUUUAUAAUACAUAAGGAAAAAAUAUGACGUGGAUAAAAUAGUGGUACAUAAUCAUAGAAUAUUGGGAAAAUCUAAGGAGAAGCGCCGCAUCACAUCACUUCCAUGCGGCGGCUUACACGGGCAUGCAAAAAUCUUCUAUCCCAUGAUAACAUCAUCACAUUAAAUGCUUUUUUGAAUUUUAAAAAUGAUUUAUCUCAUAGAUUAAUAAUUUGAUUGAAGAUUCGUCUUCACCGUUAGGUUUGUCUCGACGAGACCUUUAAAAUAAGAUCCUAUAUUAACAUGUUUCGUUGAUAUUUUUUCGUCGUUCCUAGUUGCCACAUUUAUGUCAUUAUAGUUGUCAUUUUACGGAUGUACAGUUGUCACAAAAAUUAUGCAUAGUUAUCGGGACAAUAAAUUUUUAUUUUUUAAGUAUUGUAGUGUUAUGUGAAGCUAAAAAGUGGUUAUUAAAGCACUAACAAUAAGCAAGUAAAUGCAUGAACCAGUAGAAGUACAAUGAAUCAAGUUUUUUAUGGUGUAUAUCAACAUUCUUAAAACCUGGUAACCAAGUUGAUUUAAUGUGAGAACUAUGUGAUAAAUAAUGUGACAAGUAAGUGAUAAUAAUUUGGCAAAUACCGACGUAAAUAAAAGUUAUCGAAACAUAUCGACAUGGGAUCUAGUUUUAAAGAUUUCGUCACGAUAAAGUCAGUGGUGAAAACAAAUCAUUAAUUGAGAUAACGGUUGGAGAGAUAAAUCUUUUUUAAAAUACAAAAUCAAAAUAAUACGUAAUGAUGUCAUGUUGCAUGCAUGCAAAAUGAAUGAAAGGGAGCCGUCGCAUGAGAAGACUAAUAUACGGCGCCGCUUCCUAGUAAAGUCCUAGAAUAUUUGCUUGCCAGUCAUAUUAUUAGGUCGCGUUUGGGUAUACAUAAUUAUAUCCAUGCCUACCCACCAUUAGUCGGAUCGGGUUUGGGCGUUGUUCAUGGGUGUUGGAGCUGCCACCCCUUGCCACCCGUCUACCCCUAGCUAGCUCGCUCCUAGCUGCCGCAGCUGGAUCGGCCAGAGAAGGAAGAAAGGAUUCAGAGAAGUUCAGAGACAACAGUGGACACAUGGAUUCUUUCGGCGCUCUAACGCCUUCUCCUUUCCUCGAGCACGAACUCGACCAAGUCAUCUGUUACAACGAUCAUCCCGUGGGUUUAUAUCCCCGAGCCAGUGUAUUGGGCACGUACCCACGCCACUACUCGGCCGCGAUCUUCUCCACGUCCUGCAUGCUCUCGUCGCACCCGCUACGCACCCGCGCGCGCCCGCGUCUCGCGCUGAGCUGCACCAAACGAUCCGAUCGCGCCGCACGCUCGCCAACAGACACACUCACACCCUACCCUGGUGCACGGACACGCCCAUGCGCCCAACGCACGCACACACGCAGGCCCUGAUCCUCGGACCAGACGCGCCCAGCAUGUCCAGUGCGCGCCCAUACCCGCAUUGGACGUGCCCGGCUCGUCGUCGUGGCUUAUUCGCCUAUCAUUCACGCCCUAAGCCGCGGCUCAGAGCAGGCCGGCGUCCUCGACGUCGGCGUCCAUCAUCAGUGCAUGUCCCGCGGCUGGCUCCUUCCGCAGCAAAGGGCACUCCCUCUUGAAGUGUCCACUGACGCCGCACGUGUAGCACUUCCCACGUCGGUUGUCCCUGCCGCCCGAUGCCGUGCUUGCGGUGCCGUCAUCUUCGCCCCCUCUGCGCGCACCAUCUCGACGCCGCUCACGCGCACGCCACUGUGUCGCGGUGAGCAAGAGCUGUUCGCCGUCCGUCUGCCCGCGCCGGCACAGCCGCUCGUCGAAUGCCUUCAAGCGUCCGAGCGCGUCCUCGAACAGCAACGUCGGCAUGUCACAAAACUGCUCCAUCCCGGCGACCGCCGCGUACAAGCGAUUCGGGACGCAGUCCAGGAACUUCUUCACCAUAGCCGCGUCGUCGAGAGUUGCUCCCAGCCCGGCGUAGCGCGCCGCCAUGCCGCUGAUUUUCCCCGCAAAUGCAUCCAGCGACUCGUCGCUGGCCAUGCGCAGGAGCUCGAACUCCCCGCGCAGUGUGCCCAGCUGAGCCGCGCGCACACGGUCCGCGCCGACGAAACGUGCCUUCAGGCUAGCCCAUAUCUCCGCCGCCGUUUUCUUCGCGGCCACCUGCAACAGAAGAUCGUCGGGGAGCGCCCGGAGCAGAUACGCCCUCGCCGACUUGUCUUUCUUGGCGAUCACCGCCGCCGAGCCCUCCGACGGAGCCACCGCCUCCCAGAGUCCUGCGGCGUCGAGGUCCGCCUCCACCUUGAUGGCCCAGGUGGUGUAGUUGUCCCCCGUCAGCAUCGGGACGGACGUUGCCAUUGUCGUCCCCGUCCCGCCGGAGUACGGGACCAUCGCCAUGUCCGGCGAGCCCUCCCGUCGCCCGAGGCUCUGAUACCAAAUGUUGGAGCUGCCACCCCUUGCCCUAGCACCCGUCUACCCCUAGCUAGCUCGCUCCUAGCUGCCGCAGCUCGAUCGGCCAGAGGAGGAAGAAAGGAUUCAGAGAAGUUCAGAGACAACAGUGGACAUAGGGAUUUUUCCGGCGCUCUAACGCCUUCUCCUUUCCUCGAGCACGAACUCGAUCAAGUCAUCUGUUACAACAAUCAUCCCGUGGGUUUAUAUCCCCGAGCCAGCGUACUGGGCACGUACCCACGCCACUACUCGGCCGCGAUCUCCUCCACGUCCUGCAUGCUCUCGCCGCGCCCGCUACGCACCCGCGCGCGCCCGCGUCUCGCGCUGAGCUGCACCAGACGAUCCGAUCGCGCCGCACGCUCGCCAACAGACACACUCACACCCUACCCUGGUGCACGGACACGCCCAUGCACCCAACCAACGCACACACGCACGCCCUGAUCCUCGGACCCGACGCGCGCGUCCAGCAUGUGCAGUGCGCGCCCAUACCCGCACUGGACGUGCCCGGCUCGUCGCCAUGGAUUAUUCACCUAUCAAUGGGUAUAAAAAUAUAUCCAAACCCUAUCCAUUCGGAUCGGGUAGGGAGGAAGCUGCAUGCAUGCAGCUAUCCUAUUGCGCCGGCAAGAGGGUCAAGUUGUUUUUUAUUAGUAGUUUGACAUUUGGAUCAAGCGUGUGCAUGAAUACAUCAGGCUAAGCUAGCAACGAUGCAACAUGAUAGAUGCAGAGUAAUGCUACAUCGACGGACCCUUACGGGGUUUUACAAACUGAGUUUGAGCUGUCAAAUUAUCAUUGGAUUAAGGUGAGAAAGGGGGCCAUCCACCUGAAAAUCAGGGGAGGGUGGAGAGCAUUAGAGGGAAGGUCCCGUAAAGUUCAUGUAAGGGUCCCUAUGUUUAGCAUUUCGGUAGAUGCAGGUGCAGCUUUGCCCCUGGGGUCGGGUAUCUACAGAUAUCCAUGUUUCCUGGGUAAAACUGCCAUCUUACUCUCCUUUGACACUGUACAAACGGUUGGUCCUCACUUCUCCAAGAUCGUCCAAAUUGUAGUAGUACGUUGAAGCGAUAGGAACGCGGUGGUCUUCGGCGGCGAAGGCGGAUGCCGUGCUCCAGGCCUCCAGCAGCGGCGCCUCGCCCCUAGCCAUUCUAUAUUUAAAUCAAGCAACAUUCAGGCGCGCACAGCAGCAUGCAUGUAGAAGAAGAAUUUCUUUAUUUCUUUAUUUAGCGAUCAAUAAACUUGAGGAAUGGUGGGCUUAUUAUCAAACGAGACUUUGAAGAAGAGCACUCCAACUUGUCUGCCGUGCUGUGCAUGGUGGGCUUUCUGAAUCAUGGCAAAGUCUAGCAACUACUGCACUAGCUAAUUGAGUAUAGGAAAAGUAUGGUCCCAAGUCGCUUCCGACCCGAGCUGUUCCCACAAGCGGGCAAACCCUAGCCACCGUAGCUCGAACCUCCCACUCUGACCUCCCUCCCCCGCCGUCGCCGCGAGCCACCGGGCUUGCGCAGGUGGCGGUGGGGCGCUCCUCCCUCUCGGCACGGGCGGCGCAGGCCGUGAGUCCGAACGACGGGAGGGGGGAGGGGGAGGAGGGUUUGGGCUGCCGCACGGCCCGACGGCGCAAGGAUGGGCGUGAGAGGCGGCUGGUCCUUUGCUCCAAGGCGGGGUGGCGGAGUCCCGGCGAUGUGCGGUGGAUGCGGGACGACUUCCUUCGGGUGGUGGCGCGGGGGUCGUUCUCCUCUAGUCGGAUCUGGUGUCGGCGGAUCAUGGGCUGGCCGGGCCUGCGGGCAGCAAGGCCCAUUGCCUUCUCCUCCCGGCUGGUUGCAUGGGUAGGGCCGGCGUGGCGGCGGCAGUGGUGGUACGGACUUGGGGCGGCGGUCGAUCGAAUCUGGCGGUGGUUACUGCGCAUUGAUGGCACUUGCCCGACGACGUCAGGUGGCGGCGACAAUCUUUGGCCGCGGGCAUGCGACAACUGGGUGCUGUUGGUUGGAGCAGUGGCCCUUGACGUUGGUGUAGAGGGGGCGGAGCAUGUCGCAGGGAGCCGUUGGAUCCAGGUGAUUUGCGGCCGGAGGUACCGGUUACCACAUGAUGGUCGGAGGUCCCGGAUGCCAUGGGGUCUCCGUGUCCUCCUCUCGAGGUAGUGCUAGUUGGCAGUUGGCCAACAGCGCGAGCUGGCCGCCGGUAUUGGGGUUUGACUAAGUCCCCCUGCCGCGGGCUGGUUGCUCUCUUGCAACUGUCUCGGCCAUUUCUCUGCACAGGUUGAGGUGGAGGCUCGUGGCUUGGUGGGGAGGCAGCCUCAUGUUGUGGCGUCGGUGUUGAGUUGUUGGGGGAUGUCGGGAUGGCGACUUUGGGUGGCGGGAUCCACGGUGGGCUUUCUGGCGGUCCUCGUGCAAUAAUCCUACAUCUACGUAAGGUUCUACUUACUUAUCAUUUACAAAAUACUCUUCUUCCUCCUGAUUUCAACGUGGGUGGGCCUCAACCAUUAAUCCUAAUCCAAUUAACUACCUCUAAAUCAGCCUUUACGUAGAAACCUCACGUAACAUUAUGUGGGUGUAGCAUUUCCCGUCCUCGUGGUGACGCUGAUGCCUAAUCCUCUUGUCUGUGUGGGCGGCGGGGGUAGAGGUGGAUGGCUCUGGCAGGCUCUGGUCUUGCCCGAAUUUGGCGGGGGUUGGGCUGUAUCUCGCGGGGGGAGCAGCAGGGGCACCUCCUGGUGGUAGUGGCGAGUACCCAAGCGAAAGCUUCACACUUAGCACCGACACCGGCGGCGACCCUAGGUGUCGUUCCCUUCUCGAAGGCGUGGCCGUGGGUCUUCUUCAUAUGCUAGGGCUUCGGGUGAAAACCCUUGUGUGUUCUCAGACUCGGCAGUGGCGACGCAUUGCACCGUCACCCUCCUGGGGGCAUUGUCGUGGAGUUUUGGUAUCCUCGCUUGGUCCUAGGCGAGGUGUUAGGCUUGCUCUAGUUUCUCGUUGUAUCUAGCGAUCCGCUUUGUAAGAGAGUCAUCUCAUCACAUUAUAUCGUUCGGCCAUGUGCUCUUUGGUGUUGUUGCUUUAUAUAUAGGAAAAGUAUGCAUGGCAAGACCGAUACUCCUAUCGUAUAUUGCUACCUUGGUGGAAUUGGAAUGUAGAGAAGUUGCUCCGUCCAUUCUAUUUUCAAUCUGCCAUUUCCCUGAGGAAAAUAUAGAUGGCUAAUAUUAUUGUGGUGUUGUUUUUGUUGUAUUGAUCUGACCCUCAUAUGGGGUAUAUAUAGAAUACACGAGGGGGUAGAGGCUUAGAGUACAAGACAAGUAAUACAUGGUUUAAACCUAUUCGAUCUCUACUCCUUAUCUUUAUCUUUAAACCCAAAGUAUGUUCUAACAUUCCCCCUCAGUCGUAGAGGGAGUGAAGUGGACGAUUGCGACUGAAUUUGAAGUCAUGCGCCUUUGUCAUAUUCUCCGCCGCGUCAUCAUCAAUUGUGUCUCUCAUGGGUCGGCACCUAGGGUGGUGACUGCGUCCCCUUAUCUCUAACUUAAACCCAAUUAUACUUCUAACAUUCCCAACCAAUAUGACUAAGCAUGCGCUCCUCUUCCGAGGAACUGCACUGCUCCUUUGCCUAUUGAUCUUCCAAGCAGGGUCCACUUUGCAUAGCCAAGCGAGUGUAUCCGGAGCCUGCAUCAGCAGCGAGACCGUGUUGGCCAUCUCCGGUCAUGGCAGGGUGACGAUUUUUGCCAAUGGAAGGGGGUCUGAUGAUUGUCGCAGGGGACAUGAGCUCUUAUUUGGCUACUUUAACGGCACAAGCAUCCCUGUAUUCUUGGCUUUCCGCCAUAACAUAAGCUAUCUAAGUUGCAAUAUCUUGAUCACAACUGGAAUUAUUUCCAAACAAUGGAUCAUGAAUGGUCUCCAGGUCUCUCUUUGUUAAGCCAUCUUGAAAUGAGUGGUGUUGAUCGUAGUUCUAAGAGGGAUUGGCUUCACAGGGUUAACAUGCUUCCUUCUCUUAAAGUGCUUCCAUUGCCCUAAUGUAUUCGAAAUACUAGCAUGUCUACUAUAGUAUAUCACGUUACAAACUCACUCGUCUAAAAAUUCUUGAUAUGUCUGAGGACAACUUCAAUACAUCACUCAAGCAUGGGUGGUUUUGAAAUCUCAGAGGCCUUAAGGAUCUUUACCUCUCAAAUUCGGGAUGGCUAGGGCCCAUUCCCAGUGAUUUGGCAAACAUGACAUCCCUUCAAGUCAUGGACAUCCAAUUGAAAGCAUGCCAAUGUUCCUUCUGUCAUUUUUUGAGAUACUUGUUGGGGUACGAAAAAGGUUGGACUUCUAUAGAUCUCGUUUCUUUUGGUAGAGUGAUGAGAUCAAAAGAAGAUAUAGACUCUCUCGUUGGGAUAUUAUUUGUAGAUCCAAAAUACAAGGAGGUCUUGGGAUCGAGAACUUGGAGGUCAAAAACAAAUGUCUGCUUAGAAAAUGGUCUUACAGUGUCUGUAGAGUCCGAAGGCAUGUGGGUACAAAUUUUGAGACAUAAGUACCUACAUGCUAAAACUUUGGCUCAAGCCACUUCAAAACCUAGUGAUUCACCCUUUUGGAAAGGACUUAUGAGAACAAAAGUGGCGUUCUUUCAUAGGUCUAAGUUGAUCGUGGGUAAUGGGGAGUCUACGAGGUUUUGGGAAGACACGUGGUUGGGCGAUACGCCGUUAGCCACGCAAUAUCUGGCUCUAUAUAAUAUUGUGCAACGUAAGGAGGCUUACGUGUCCACUGUAUUACAGUCUGUUCCUCUAAACAUUCAGUUCCUAGGAGUUUGUUGGGAGAUCGUUGGUUGGCAUGGCUUGAUCUAGUCAGGAGACUGAUGGAGGUUAAUUUACCGGAUGAGGCCGAUACACUCCAUUUCAAGUUGUCUAAGAAUGACAUCUUUUCGGUGAAAACGAUGUACUUAGACCUCAUUGACUUUGGAUCAAUCCCCAAAUUGAUUCAUACUUGGAAGAUCAAAGUUCCUUUAAGAAUCAAAAUCUUCAUGUGGUUCGUUUACAAGGAAGUUAUUCUUACUAAGGAUAAGUUGGCAAAACGUAAUUGGGCUGGAAACAAAAGAUGUAGCUUUUCUGAUCAACUUGAAACUAUCAAACACCUCUUUCUCGAUUGUCCUUUAGCAAAAAUACUUUAAAGAUCCAUUCACAUAGCCUUUAAUAUCACACCUCCAACUAGCAUUCGCAUGAUGUUUGGGAAGUGGCUAAACGGGGUAGACAUUGUUAUGGCAAAGAAUAUUCGCAUAGGAGUCUGUGCGUUACUUUGGGCUAUUUGGAAUGGAAGAAAUGAUAUGGUCUUUAACAGACAAAAUCGCACAAAUUUCUUGCAGGUUCUGUACAUGCCAACGUCCUUGAUCCGUACAUGGUAGCUACUCACUCCUGCGGAGAGCAGUGAAUUUUUGGCUACUCGAUCUAUCUGAUGGGAGAUGGUAGCACAGUAUAUCUACAAUCAGUUUGGAUGACGGUCCAAUAGUAGAAUAGUUGGAUAGAUUUCUAGUCCUAUUGUACGCCGGUUGUGGCUGUUUAUCUGUUCCGGAACUUCUUUGUAACCUUGUUUUGAACUGCAAAUAUUUUUGCUUGAACUUUAAAUAAAGAGGACGUAUUCAUCGCUCUGAUGCAGAGGCCAGAGGCAAGCCUCCUUAUCUAAAAAAAUAUCGUGGGUUUGAUGCGAGGUAAAUUGGAAAAUUUGUGCAAUUUGACAAUGAUACAGUUUGACGGCAACAACUUAGGAUAGAGCAUAAGGGAGUUCAUGGGGCUCUUGCAAAAGUGCUCAUGGAAUACACUGCAAGAAUUCUCAAUGCAUGAUGCAAAUAUGAUCGGUAAUCUUCCCAUCUUGAUUGGGAACAGGACCAAUCUCAGUGUUCUUCAAGCAUCUGAAAACAUGUUAACUACUCCCUCCGUUCCUAAAUAUAAGUCUUUCUAGAGGUUUCACUAAUGGACUACAUACGGAUGUAUAUAGACAUAUUUUAAAGUAUAGAUUCACUCAUUUUACUCCGCAUGUAGACACUUAUUGAAAUAUCUUAAAAGACUUAUAUUUAGGUACGGAGGAAGUAGCACUCUACCUAUAGGAGUUGGAGCACUCAGCAAUUUGAAAACACUUGACCUCGGUGACAAUAACUUGAGCGGUAUGCUCUUGAAAGAACAUUUUGCAAGUUUGGAGAACUUAAAAUGUUUGGACCUCAGCUACAUCAACUUCAGUGGUGUAUUCUUCAAGGAAAAUUUUGCAGGUUUAAGUAAUUUACACCAUUUCCACGUCAGCUAUAACAACUUCAGUGAUUUGCUCUUGAAAGAACACUCCACAAGUUUACGUAAUUAAAAGCAUUUGGACCUCAACCAUAAUAAAUUAAAUAGUGUGCUUGUGGAGGAGCAUUUUGCAAGACUUUUUAAACUAAAGUAUAUGGACUUUUCGUACUCUUUGAGGUUAGCUUUCAACCAUAAAUGGGUUCAUCAAUUCAGAUUGAAGGUCGCGAGAUUCCGGUCAUGCAAACUAGCUAGGCCCUAGUUUUCCAGAGUGGCUAAAAUGGCAAUCUCACAUUGAUGGUCUUGUUCUUGCUAAUGCACAUUUGGGUGAUGUUAUUCCUGAUUAGUUUUGCGCAUUCCUGCAAGCACCAGGAAACAAAUUGCACGGCUCAUUACCGGCAAAACUACAACACAUGUUGGCUCGGUAUAUACUUCUUGGUUCCAAUAAGGUUACAUGUCAAGUAGCACAGUUGCCCGUAACUAUAUCCUGACUCGACCUAUCAUCAAACUCUUCUUGUGGGUCAUUGCCAUCACAGCUAAAUGCUCUAUUACUCAAAGAUUUGUUGCUUGCAUCAAUUCAAGGGCACUAUCCCGCAGUCUAUAUGCCAAUUGGCUACACUAAAAGGAUUGUACAUAUCAGGAAACCAUUUAACACGAGAUAUUAUUGAGUGAUGGAAGGAAUCUGAUUCAAACUCUGCAAAUCGAUUUGGUUUGGGUUUUGAGAUGUUCAGGUUAGCCCUAAAUAACAACAACCUCACUGGUGAAUUCCCUAAAUUUAUUCAAAUGUCAUCAGGCUUGAUGUUCCUUGAUCUUUCUAACAAUAGGUUAUUUGGAGUAUUGCCAUAAUGGUUGACAGAAAAAUAAACCACAAUUGAUGAUAUUUAGAGUGAGAUCAAAUAUGUUCAAUGGUCAUAUCCCUAAGAGUCCCACUUCCCUUCAGGGUCUUCAUUAUUUGGACAUAGCACAUACCAACAUAUCAGGAAGAACCGAAGAAUACCAUGGUCUUUGUCAAACUUGAAGGCAAAUGAAGGCAGUGGUGUCACAUGACACGAAGGAUUACUACUAUGAAGAGAGCAUCCCAGCAAUUAUGAAGGAUCAAAAGCAUGACUACACCUUUGCGGUUUACAAUAUACUGGUAAUUCUUGAUUUGUCAAGUAAUAGCUUGGUGCUGUAUGCAUCUCUCGAUGCAGAGGCCGGGGCGAGGCCUCCUUUUCUAAAAAAAGUAAUAGUUUGGUGGGACAGGUUCCAAAGGAGACAAGUCUACUCACUGGGCUUACCAAUCUGAACUUGUCAAAUAAUCAACUCAUAGUACUUAUUUGCACCACAGAGAAACAUGGAGUCCUACGAUACAGCACAAAAGUGCAUUUACAAGGGUCUCUCACGCGAUACUAGCCUUCUUAUCAAGGCCAUUAUGGUUGACCACAGUCGUUUCCUUGAAUUUCUAUGCCUUUCGUGCCUCUCCAAAAAGCGGCUUGCAAUGUCCGUAAACCGCCGGGGGUCCUUGUGGUGACACCAAUUGUAGUACAAGGCUGUGGUGAGAAUCCAGGUUAUCGUGAUGAACUCAGUGCUGCUGCUGAGCUGCCUGGCAUGUGAGUCAUUGCUGCAGUGGCUGGCGGCGUAGCACAACAUCUCCACCCACACCCGUGCGAUGAGUCGCAACACCCUCUCAACACCGCGACGAUUGUUGCACCGAUUCAGCACUUUAUAUGCAAGUUGUACUUCUGGUUGAUUGUCGUAUGGUCCUUGCUGCCCUCGCCGGUUAUCCAUAAACCCAUGGAAGUUGGAGCAAAAGCUAUCGUACUGGCUUCGGCGAACAGGGCUUGGCAACAAGUGAGGCCGCUCCACAAGAAGGAACACCAUGUAUCUUGACAGUGUGCGGAUGGUUUUGACGAGGCUCUUUUGCCGUCUCCUCUCUUCACGGGUCAUGUCGGGUCUAGUCGGCUUAUCCAAAUUGCAUUUCCAGAGAAAGGCGUCGGUGGCAUAGUGCCAAGCGAGUAUGCUGCCGUCAAAACCAGCCUGGUCCAAUCCGGCCACACUGGCGUAUAAUGAACCGCCAGCACCAUCCUUGCCCCAUCCGCCUAGCACGAGCUGUCCAAGGCCACUCUGGGUGCGGUUGUGGUUCUUUUUUACAUAGUCUUGAACCAUAUGCUCUAUGUGGGACACCACCAUGUCCUCCACAUCGCGUGACAUAAUGACAGAGCCGAAGAAACGCAGCCUGAUCCACCGUUGCUCAAGCCGCAAACAGUCCAUCAACAAGUAGCAUGUGCUCCUCUUGCGAUAGCUGUGCAGCUCAAAAAUGUCAUGCUGCCCGAUGGAGGCCGGCCACUUCCUGCAUCCCUCUGCUUCCUUGGCACCCCGGCGGACACGCAACACGGCCUCGUGUAGUUGUAUGAAGACGGAACACGAUGAAGCUCUUAACGAGGCACAUGUCCAUGUAGACAAUAUGGUCCUCAGCAGGGAUACAACCUCCAAGACGAAUGCCCCACCCAACAAGGUGUAGGUGACGACCAUGUCCCGCCUGCUGUAACCUCUGCCACCACCCAUAGCGGAACUGUGCUCACGGAAGAGGCAGAACGCCACGACGGUGGCGGCAAUGGAGGCAGUACGAGACAGGCAUCCGUACCAAGCUCCAAUCACCAGGGCCUUGGUGUAGAGAAUGUCCCGCAUCAGAGAGAGCUGCAUCCCAACCAGCUGUGUCAACAUGCUGCGCCCAGCUUUAGGAUUGGUACCACCAUGAUACGCCGCUAUGGCUCUGGUCUGGAACAGGGACGGCCAGACCCUGUAGUCGACCAACUGACCCAUGCAGAUAUGGAGAAGGUCGUGGGCUCCCUGCAGGACCUCCUCCGGGUCAUCCGGAGAAGCCAUGUCUUGGUACGGCUUGUCACGUUCCGGUACCGGCACCUCAAAGCCGUCGAGGAACUUCCUGAUGCUGUCAAGGCCAGAGGACUUGAGGGCGUAUAUCCUCUCCCCGUACUUGACGACGCCCACCAUGAACAUCAGCAGUGACGCGGCGAGUAAGGCCCCGCGACCGACGUACUUGUACAGCACGUAGGCCGCCCCGGCGGCCUGCACCACCAGGGUUAGCAAGUGCCGCAGCCAGAGAUCGUUGUCCUCCAUGGCGUAGGCGGUGAUGGUGUCCUGUCCGCCGAGGUGCACCAGCAGUAAGGACGCCCAGAACGCCAUGAGCUGCUGCUGCUCGCGUGGCUUGCAGCUCAGCGCCAUGUGCCCCAACACGUAGAUCGCCACCGAGUCGGCCAGCAGGUAUAGCAGCCACAUGAUGCCAUUCAGCGCGGCAGACAGUCGAGCCCAGCGGGAUGCACGCCGGCGCCACUCGGUGAAGACGAGCAGGAGCACUUGCAGCAGUAAGCUUGAAAGCAGCAGGAUCUGCACCUCCCAUCCUCCCAACUGUUCUGCCAAUCCCCCCAUCGAUCGGUUACUGACCAUGCAAAAAAAAAAAACACCAAUCAGUUAGGACUUAGGAUGCAGUUCAUGUUUCUCUCGAUAUGAACUCAAAAAAUUACAAAAACUGAAGAGAAAAAUUCAUCUUAAUUAGCUUAGAACCUUGAGGACCCAACAUAUAUCUGAUUUGGAACGUACCUCUUGGCCAUCAGCGUCGGCACUGGUUGGGGAAUUUCUCCCCUUGGCGUAUGGAGGAGCUAGCCCACCGAGAAUCUAAGGGGAAUUAUUGGUGGGGAGUAAAGGGAGUUAGACGAGAGCGGAGUGUUAUCGCAUAAGAGCAGCAGGAUCACACAUAUAUAAGCAAUAAUCAUGCAUGAAAAUUAAUGCACAUAAUCGAGUGAACAAAGAUGUGACAAGUAGCAGCUUCAAUACCAUAUUCCUCUUAUAUUAUUUUAUUACAAGAAGACAAGACAGGAUUCAAACUUGAAGUAAGCCGAGGAGAAAGUAAGCACAGAAGAAGAAAGAGAUCCCUGUCAAAAAAGGAAGAAGAAAGAGAUGUGCUUUUGUACAUCACCCUCGUAAACUUUUGAAAACUAUAUUUUCAUCCAUCCAUAUAAAAUAGUACUCCCUCUAUCCCAAAAUAAGUGACUCAACUUUAUACAAAGUUAAUACAAAACCGAGUCACGGAGGGAGUAAAAGAUUAAGCCACCCCCGUGUCCCCAUCGUCGCUCCCAGGGCAAGAAACCAUGUCGACAUCGGCUCCUCCCCACCGUGAGACGACAAAUCUGUAGUUUGACUGUGUGGCACACACCACCGACACACCGAAAGGCCCUCAAGUCCAUCACGUUGCUCGUUCCCUGGAUGAUAUGGAAACAUAGGAACGUAUGCGUCUUCGGCAAUGCGACACCACCAUUGAAUAGCUAGUAGAUAGGAUCAAAGACGUGUUGGGCAAAGGCUGGCCCCAGAGACUUAGGGUUGUUCUUCCAACAUCCUAGAACAUCAAUUGAUCGGACUCAAGACACUGUAAAGCUCACCUCCUCAGAGGACCAUUCUAUAUUUUCAAUGAAAUGAAACACAAAGGUCCUUUGCGUUUUCUUGAAAAAAUGAAAAAAUGUCUGACCGUGCGUGAUCUGCGCCUAGCGGAGUGAACAUAAGCAUUAAUGCGGCCCUACAAUCACAUUAAUGUGUAACUCGUCGGAUCUACUAUGUUUGUACUUAUGUCUUCAUGCCUGAGAGUUCAUAUUGGCAAUUCAGUAGUACUGAAUUUUUAACAACUAUGAUCAGAUUAUGGGGUAAUGGUUACGACAGCUGAUUCGAAAGGAAUCUUUUGAAAGAGAGAGGUUUCCAAUAAUAUGGCUAUUAUCAACUACAAGAAAAAUAUCAUGUCAACGUAUCUACAAAGUUCCGAACUUCAGGGAUCGACUAUCCUUUUCCUUUUCAGAUAGUUUCUUUUCUUUUCUCUCCAGGAGAGCACAAAUUACUGUGGACUAUGGACAUAUAGAGGAUAGAUUACAAGAAUGGAAACAGAAAAUGGUGAGGUACGAAAAACAAUUGUCCAGCUACAAGCUUACAACAUAACAAAUUAUGCUGAUAAACAUGUUACAUGCUGUGUAAAUAUUGUAUUAUCGAGUGCUCAUAUUCUUUGCAGAUGCAAAUGCAUUAGCAUAAUUGUCCAGUAUCCUCCCUUAAUUCUCAACAUUUGACAAAACAAACCGACAAGGUGAUGUCAGCACAUGUUCUAUUGCCAUCAUAUGGAAAGUUAUAGACACUGACGCAAAAAAGGAAGCAGAGAACUUCUCAAUGUUUCCAAACAUCUACUUGAUGUAGCCCUAGUCUUCACAACAGAGGCAGCAAAAUAUAUAGUGAAAACAUUUUAUAACUUUAAGAUGUCCUCAGCACAGAUAGUAAUUACCUUCUCCUGAGAAGCACUUCAGCAGCUUCUUGGCCACUGAAUAUCUCCUUCAGACUUCCUCCAAAUAAUGUCCCCUUUCUGCAGUGGCAAGGAAGAAGAAAUGUAGUUUCAGUUUAUGGUUCCCAUGCUGUAAAAGCAACACUAUCGCAAAGAGCAAGCUCACGCGAGAUAUCUACAACCAGUUUGAUUGGCGAGCCAGUAAUAGGAUAGGUGGAUAGUCAUCGCAUUUUAUUUUCGCCGGUUGUGGCUUUAUUUUAUUUCCUUUGCAUUUGUUCAGCUCGGUGCGAGCCUAUUUUGGAUCUAAGGCAUUUGUUGCAUGAUUUUUUUUUUGCGUAAUAAAGAGGUUGCAUGCAUCAUCAUGAUGCAAAGGCCGGGAGUGUUCCUCCUUUUCUAAAAAAAAUGUGUGGGGUGAUGUUCAUUACUAUUUGAUGCACUGGGUGCUAAUGAGUCUUCUACAUGUGAAAUGAUGUUAGUUACUGUUUUGGUGUUAUAUAUACAGGACAAGGACAGAUCCAAGGUUGAGUAUAGGGUGUGGAACGCCUUCAGCUCUAAGCUGGCCAUUACCGUGCUCAGCAGUGUUGACAACAUCUGCAUUAUAAGUAAUUUUGUGCAUUAGCUUGUGUUCUAAAUGGUCCGCAAACCAUGCAUGUCAACGUUGCAAUGUAAGUUAGAUACAUUAUUGUCAUAGACUUAUAGUAGUUGAUGAUGCGCUUUUGUCCUAGGCUCCUGGUAAUCGUGUGUGUAUCUUGGUGCUGCCCCUGAAACAAUCAUGUCUCACAUGUCUGAUACUUUGAUAUUGUUAGACCAGUGAGAUCUUACCACAACUUCCUUUUUUUUUGUACCAUUCAGAUCGAGUGGUGUUUCUCGAUAGUGUCUUCCAUCUCUUCAUUCGGUUGGGAACCUGAAAUUGCAGUUUCUUGAUUUUUGCUUUUUGCAUUCCCGACACGUGGUGAUUUUCUUCCUCAAAUUGCACGCCCAUCAGGAUACAUUCCACCAGCAUCUAAGUAAAAGUCUCUGCUCGAUUCUCGCAGAUGGAUUCCACUUUUAGUGUUCUUUCCAUUUUGCGGAGACAGGGGGAUUUCAGAAUAUCUUUGUACCAUUGAAGCGAUAGCUGGAACUGAAGCACCUCCUUCUCCAUCUGCACUGGAUUAGCUCCUCUACCUACACUAAAUAACUUGGUCUUUCAUCAAGGUGGUGGGAUGUGUAUGAGGAAGCGAUGACACUGCUGAGCAAAUUUGAGGAUGUAGAUGUUUGCAAGAUCUGGUGAGAGCAAUAAAGUUGCCCAUAUAGUGGCUAGUCAUGCUACAAAUUUUGGGGAUGCUCAUCCUUCUGGUAGGAGAUGCUCGUCCUUCAGCACGUCUUGUUAUUUCGACCCAGUGAUCAUCUAUCAAGGUCUCACUUCCGCUUAAAAAAACUUGAUGUUUCAUGGCCUUAACAUUUUUAAAAAAAAGGAGGAUUGCCUCCGGCCUCUGCAUUAUGAUGAUGCAUGCAACCAUUUUAUUAAAGUGUAAGAUUCCAAACAAGUGCAAUAUCCAGCAAGAGCUUGAAAGAACUCAUAAUAAAAAAAACUAAGAUUACAUGCCACAUCUGGCAAGAUGAAAAUUACCUACGGUGACUAAACACCUAGCCUAGUGUGCCGCCAUCCAAAUCGGUUGAAAAUAGUCCGUGCUGCCAUCUCCCAUCGGGUGCACCCAGUAUCCAAAAGCUCUCUGGACUCCGCAGGUGUGUGUGUAACAACCACGUAUAAAUCCAUGUUGUAGCUCUGUAGAUGAUCUGCAAAAGAUUGGUGAAGUUCUUCCUAUUAAAAAUUAUAUCAUUCCUGCAAUUUCAUAUAGCCCAAAGCAUGGCACAUGUUCCUAUUCGAAUUUGUCUAGCAAUGGUAACAUCUGCUCCAUUAAGCCAUGUCCCAAAUAAUGUGUUCAUACUUGUUGGAGGAUUUAUAAUGAAAGCUAUAUGAAUAGUCUGUCAUAGAAGCGUAGCUAAAGGGCAUUCAAGAAAGAGGUGUUUAAUAGUCUUAUUGUGGUCGCAGAAGCAACAUCUAGAGUUACCCACCGAUCUUCGUUUAACCAAGUUAUCUCUAGUGAGUAUCACACCCUUGUGCACAAACCACAUAAAGAUCUUGAUCUUGAGUGGUAACUUUAUUUUCCAAAUAUGUGGAGAGGUAGGUAAUAUUCUGCCAUUAAUAAGGUUUGUAUACAUUGACUUCAGAGUGAAGCUACUGCUUGUAGUUAACUUUCAAUGAAUUGUAUCUGGUUGGUCUGAUAGUUGAACAUCCAUCAACCUACGAACCAAAUGGAGCCACGCACUCCAUGGUUCUCCUACUAGAGAUCUCCUAAAUUGAAUAUUAAGAGAGACCGACUGUAGAAUCGUAGCAACGUACGCCUCCUUGUGUUGCACAAUGUUAUACAAGGCCGGGUAUUGUGUAGCUAGGGGCGUCUCUCCUAACCACGUGUCUUCCCAAAACCUGGUUGUGUUACCGUUCCCAAUGUGAAACUUGACCCUAUGGAAAAAAGCUUCCUUAGCCUUCAUAUAUCCUUUCCAGAAUGGUGAGUCAGAAGGUUUCACAGUAACUUGGGCCAAGGUUUUGGAUUGUAGGUACUUGUUAUGUAAUAUUUGUACCAUGUACCUUCCAUCUCCACCGAUAGUCUAUAAACCCACUUGCUCAGUAAACAUUUAUUCUUAAUUUUCAGAUUUUCAAUUCCCAACACACCUUGGUCUUUGGGCCUGCAUAUCAUGUCCCAUUUAGCUAGUAUGUACUUUGUCUUACUUUCAUCGCUUUGCGAGAAGAAUCCUGAUCAAUAGAAAUUAAGUCUUUUCCACACCCCCACCGGUACUUCAAAGAAUGAUAAUAGAAAUAUCGACAGACUUGUCAACAAUGAGUUUAUAAGCACUAGCCGACCCCCGUAAGACAUAAGUUUUCCUUUCCAACAACUUAGUCAUUUCUCAAAUCUAUCUUCUAUGAACUUCCAUUCCUUAUUUAUUAAUCUUUGGUGAUGAAUAGGGAUACCCAAGUAGCUAAAUGGAAGAGAGCCCAUCUCACACCCGAAUAGUUGCUUGUAAGCAUCUUAUUCUUCUUUGGAACUUCCAAAGCAGAACAAUUUACUCUUUUUGAAAUUAAUCUUGAGUCCCGAUAGUUGUUCAAAUAAACACAAAACCAGCUUCAUAUUUCUGGCAUUAGCAAGAUCAUGUUCCAUGAAAAUGAUCGUGUCAUUCGCAUAUUGUAGAAUGGACACCCCUCCCUCUACGAGAUGCUGAACCAACCCUCGUACUAGAUCGCUCUCCUUAGCACAUCGUAUGAGUACUGACAGCAUAUCAGUAACUAUGUUGAAAAGGCGGUGAUACAUCCAAAAUGCAUCACUAUUUUGUAUCAUAAUCUAUCUCUAUUCAUUGAUAUAUUUCACAAUAUGAUGAUGUACUUAUAGUGUUUUGGCUUAUUUUAUACAGUUUACAACUUUCCGGUGCCGAAACAGCACACGCAGGAUUCAGAGGAGAAAAUAGCACGAAGAGUUACCAUAUGAGAACAUCUCCAACUGCGCUGAAAUUUUGAGGGAAGAAGUUUCCGAACAAAUCACGAAAACUGGCCGAAGGAGGGCCGGAGGGGCGUCACCGAGGCGACUUCCUGGCACGGGCCCCCUAGGCCGUGCCAGGUGGCCGCCUGGGUGGUGGGUCCCGCCUCUGGCGCUCUCCUUUGGCCUAUAUGUCCCUCCUGAUCUAAAAGUUACGGGGGGCGGAGAGUUUUCGUGAUUGCGCCGCCCCUCCGCGGUGGAAACCUACAGAGAAGAAAAGACCUUUCCGGCGGGCAGAUUCUGCCGGGGAGAACUCCUUCCGCAAGGGGAGAUCGUCGUCAUCAUCAUCACAAUUGUCACGGGUAUCAUCGAGAUCAUCAUCACCGCACCAGCGCCAUCUCCAUCUUCACCCAUCUCACCUUACCAUUGCAAUUGGAGUUGUACCUUGCACUAUUCAUCCCCUCUACUCUACCGGUGUUGAUUACACUUUUGUGGUGAAUGCUAUUGAGUUUUGGUGGAGAAUUAUUAUUAUGACCAAAUUGUUUAUCAUAUUCAUAACACCCCUGAUCAUGAUCUCUUUUAUGUCUUGUGAGUAGUUCCUUUAGUUCUCGAGGACAUGGGAAAAGUCUAGAUGUUAGUAGUCAUAUGAUGUUGAAGUAAUAUGUGUUAAGUUAUGGUGUUAUUCUUCUAGUGGUGUCAUGUGAAUGUCGACUACAUAACACUUUGCCUUUUUAAGGACCUAGGAGAAUGCAUCGUGUAUAAAGAAUGCUUAUGGUGAGUUGUCGGAGUGACAAAAACCUGAACCCCAGUUCGCAUACUUUUGCAUGAGGGAGUAUUGGAUCCUAAAGCUUAGUCUUAUGGUUAGACUUUGCCAUAAUUUCUCUCUUGUAUUUGCGGACGGUUGCAAGAGGGAUUAAUCAUAAGAGUGUACUUGUCUUAGCCUAGAUGGUGCACUAGUUAAGAUCCACCCACAUAAUACUUAUCAAUACAAAACAUGCUACUAUGAGAAUAUGGCGAAAGCACUUGACUAUCUCUUAGUCUUUAUAAGUUCAUUCCACCGGAUUAUCCUUUGCAUUCAAAAGGAUUGGGCCACUUGCUGCACCUCAGCACCAUUUACUUUUAUUGCAUUUAUUUUUGUUUGCUUAUACCCGAAAACCCAUAAAAAGUUACCUUUCAGUACUUGCAGUUAUUCCUUGCUUAAGAUCACUUGUCAGUACCUUCUGCUCCUCGUUGGGUUCGACACUCCCAUUUAAUGUCUUGCUCUCUGAGUAAAGCGUGAAGCUUCUCCUCAGCCUCAUUCCUUGUCCUCUGAUCAAGAUUAUUGAGAGUUGUUGCCUCAGCUUUCAAUUCUAACUCAUUAAUUUGUUGUAUCAGCCUUAAUGUUUCCAUUUUAUAAAUUCCACUUUGGUUCUUAUCCCAACCCCUCAAGAACUGUCGUAGGUGUCUAAUUUUGUUUUGCCAUUUGUCCAUACUAGAAGUUCCUCCAUUCUCUUUGGCCCAUUCAUCCUCUAUUAACCCUAGAAAUCCUUCCCUCUUGAACCACCCUAAUUCGAAAGAGAAGACAUUUCUAUUACCCACAUGUGAAGACAUUUUUAUUAUCAUGGCCUUAACAUGCCACAACUGCACUGCAUCUGGCUCACAAGUUCCACGUUUCAGUAAAUGAAAUACCAUCUCUUAGCAAUAUAAGUUCAGGAUGGCGUAAUUGGGUAAGCCCGUCGUUGACGCGUUAAAAAACAUAUGCUUGCUGAUUUUGUUCUACAUUCCUUCCUUGUGUUAUUAUUUCCAUCUAGCAGCACGGAGGAAAAUGCUAUGACGUUCACUAAUGAACACACAAACACACAAUAUGCAAACUACCGUAUUCCUAAUCUUUAGAGGAGAAAAUGAAACAAGGAGAGCCAAAUCUUGUCCUCCUAAAGUCCUAAUUACGGAUGACUUACGUGUUUGUCAACCAAAUCCUCCACAUGGUCGACUGUACAAAUCUUUAUAAAUUUCAGGCAUAACUUAACUAGAAGAAAAGUAUUCAUGCAUUGCAAGACCAUGAUGUGGACCGAGAAUGUACCGCUUCUCUCUAUUAUGUAUAAGAAGUGUAACUAGAGACUAGUGGACCAAACUCAGACAUUUGGCGGGCACGCCCUGGUUAGCUGGAAGACGAUCUGUCGCCCCAAGUAUCUGGGUGGUCUCGGGAUUAUGGAUCUUGAGAGAUUUGGUCGGGCGCUUCGUCUCCGCUGGCCAUGGCUUCAGUGGACGGACCCCUGACAAGCCUUGGAUGGGUUCUCAGCUGCCGUGCGACCAGGCUGACGUGAACCUUUUUCGUGCCUGCACUACCAUAACGUUGGGCAAUGGGAAAAGGCACUUUCUGUCAUGACAACUGGAGUGGUAAAGGGCCCCUCAAGCUUAUCUCCCCUCAACUGUUCAAGAUAGCCUCCAGGAAGAACAGAACAGUGCACGAAGACUUAUCAAACGAGAGUUGGAUCAGGGUGGUCUCUAGCCUUCGGUCCAUACAUCAGCUGGGGAAUUCGUGUGCGUUUGGGGUUGGAUCAGCCAAACCACCCUGUUGCCGGCCAUUGAGGAUCGCAUUUCUUGGAACCUGACUGCCAACGGGGCCUACUCCACCGCGUCGGCAUAUGGGGCGCAAUUCUAUGCCUCUCAUCCUAGGUUUGCCCCCACCAAGGUCUGGUCCGCUCAUGCUGAGCCCAAGUGCAAAUUCUUCGCCUGGGUGGCCCUUCACGGGAGGAUUUUGACGGCGGACAGGCUGGCAUUGCGGGCUGGCCGCAUUACCCCAGAUGCGUGCUCAGCUGCUCUGCCUUCGGGAGCCAGAAACUGCAAGCCACCUCUACAAGGACUGUCCCUUUACACUCGUGGUAUGGAACCAAGUGCACACAUGGACCGACGAGGGCUUGCCGAUUUCAGGUUUCUUACCUGAGCCCAGAAGCGUGUCAGAUUGGUGGGACGCCUUUCUUGCAAACCAAUCAAAGCAGGUGCGCCGACGGCGCAGCGGGAGGAUCAUCUACACCCUAUGGUCAGUAUGGAAGGAGAGAAACAGGCGUGUUUUCACCGGUAUUCGUAUGACACACACAGAGGUUGCUAUGCUGGCUUUGGAGGCAAUUAAACAACGCGAGCUGGCAUUUGUUGGGGCCAUGCCAACCGAGGGGUCGGCUAAUUUAGUUUUUUUGUGGCAGUGCCAUGUUCGCGUUUUUGCCGCGUUUCCUAAAAACAUGCGCCCUCUGUAUAUCGCGUUUCCCACUUUCCUUCUAUAUUGAAAACGCAGUGCUCCUGUCGAUUCCUAAAAAAAAACUUUAUUGAUGAUAACUUCCCUCAUCUCCCCUAAUAAUAAGUCGUCCGUCGCUGGCGGUUUUGCAAAAACACCCCUCUGUUUUUUCAUAAUCAACCCGCGGUCCUUCAUUAAGUGGAAAAAAUGUUUCGUUUUUUCAAAAAAAAACUGCAUCGGGGCGGGCCAAGGCAGCAGCCAGCCACCGACUCCUCCCGAUCCCCUGAUCUGCUCACCGCACCGCCGCCCCGCUCUUCCCGCCGGUCGCCGCCUCGCUCCUCCCGCCGGUCGCCGGCCCCGAUCCACGCCGGAUCCCGCCGCCGGCGAGCUUCCGAAGCCUUCGCCCCCAGCCCUGCCUCCUCUGUAGCUCCGCCCAGAUCCGUAGCGCAGGCGGAGCAUCUGGCGGUGGAGGAGAUUCUCACUGAUGAGGGUCACCGGCGUCGAGGUGGGUCUCUCCCGGCCAUGUCUCAGGGGGAGGAGAGAGAGAGGGACUGUCGUGCCAUGCCAUGAUGGCCGGUGUGACAUCAUCGUAGGCGGUUAAAGGGAGGACACGGCUAGCUCCUCCGAAAAGAAGCUGACGGCUCUGCUUUGCGACCUCUCUCUUUCUUCCCUUUCUUUCUUUCCUUCCUUCCUUCCUUCGGUGGCCGCUUUUCGGUCCGUCUUUUCUCCGUCGGCUUUGGGGUGGGGGGAAAGGAAUGAUGCGAGGUUCCGUCCAUGCCUGCCUAGAUGUUGUGCCCGCUCCUCUUUAGUAGUAGUAGUAGUACUACUACUACUGCCUGCGGUUUGAGCUGCGGUGGCGGGGAAAGGGCGGGGUGAAGGGAGGUCCUCCUCCUGGCGAUUCGCUCGGUGCCUCUGAUAGUCCUGAGAUUUUGAGGCGAUUCUGCUCUCGUUGUGCUCCGUGGUCUCCGGGGAGGUGCUGAUUUGGUGGAGGAUUGGGGGGCGUCUGCGCGUGGCCGGAGCCGAGGAGGAUUGCGAGCAGGAGAGGUAUGUGUUACGCACUUACGCUCCUGAUUAUCUUCAUUUUGCUGCUUGUUAACCUCAAAUUGGUCUCCCACAGUCGCCAACCACGGAAGCUUUUAGGUCGAUUUGGUAGUUUCUGAUUUGGCUACUUUGCUCCAAUUUGCUCAAGAUUGAGCAAAUAUGUAGCCAGGCUCUAGAAAUGUCUGGACUCUGUCCGGUAGUCCAUGUGUGUUUACAGGGCAGUAUGUUUCAUCAUGAAUCUUCACAACAUUUGCUGUCUGGGCUUCAGAGGUCUGUCCGAAUUCAUACAAGUUUUGAAAUGAAAAAACAGAGAGAUCUACUCCGUAGGUGUGAAUUAUUAACUAGGAGGUGUACAUAAAGAAGGCACUGUAAACUAUCUUGGUGAAUUUGUUCCAAUUUGCUCAAGAUUGAGUAGUCAGGUUCUAGAAAUGUCUCGAGUUGGUUUGGUAGUUUGAUUAUGAAAUUUUCGAUAAUUUGCUGCUGGUUCAAAUUUCUUAUUGGGCUUGAGAGAUGGGUCGGAAGUUUGUACCACUUUCGAAAGGAAGAAGAAAGAGAGAUCUAGGUUGUGAAGUAUGGACUAGGAGGUGUCCUCAGACUGCACAUAGAGAAUCUACUGUAAACUGUUUUCUCUUUACUUUUUGAUGAAAUCUUCUCAUCUUUACUUGCAGAGCAAAAUAUUCAUACUAUUAGUUCCAGCUUCAGUUCAUCACUCUAACUCCUGUCUGCUACUUUCUGUCAGGUGUCUAGGUGUAUGAAUUCAUUUCCUAAAAGAUACAGUGUGGCCAUUGCAGUAGAAGUUGGCUCAAGUUAUUGUUGUUUGUCUCAGGGUAGAAAUAAGGAGGUUUGCAGUUUGAUCCUACAGUACCGUUAUUAAGUUACUAUGUGACGUACUUUUAUCAUACGAAUGAAUCAGUCAAUUGAUAUCAUACCAUUUUGAAGCAAACUCUUCUGCGUUCGAUAUGAUAGCAAACUUGCUCUUUCUGUACUGUGUGAUACAUUGUGAAUAUAUGUUAUCUUGGUAUCCGUCAGUAGCAUUUUGCAUCACCAUCUUGGCACACUGCAAUGGGGAUAUUUAAACCAGUACAGUUCAAAAUUGUAGUUAAUCUACAUUUUUGAAAUGGUGAAUAUGGCAGCCCAUAUUUCUCAUACAUGAAGAGCACCAGGUGAACUGUAGUCCUACGAUUAAAUUAAUGAAAUGAGAGUCUUGGCCUGUGUUGGCCUGAAGCUUUUGCUUCUUCAUUCAUAUGAUUCAUCAAGGUGUCAAGUGAAUGUCCAGUCUUCUUGCCUAUUUGCUUUUCAGGUGUUAGGCAUUUUGUCCUGAAUAUAACAAGGUCACUAUCGUUGAAUUAAACAACUGACAUCAUAUAGAUGUGACGCAAAGCCAGUGUGCAUCUGGCAAAGACAAGGGAGUGUCCUACAUGAUCCACACAAAAUAGGCUUCAGGACAAAGCAUUGUAAGUAUUGUAUUUGCUUCUGCUUGUUUGCUACGUUUGACAAGUUGCUGGCAGAAGGGAUGGUUAUCUAUCUUCAGGGCUUCAGCAACCAAAAGUACAUUAUAUAGUCUAUAGUUCUGCUCUGGUUAGCUUUGGGUGCUGAGACAAUGAUCUUAAAUUAUUCCAGUUCAGGGCAUCCUUCGUUUGUUAGUAUGGUGCUCAAUGACUUAUAACCUGCACCAUGAAUUCAUAUGUAGUGUAUAUAUAUCUUCAGGCUUCAGCAGCCAAAAGUCUAUUAUAUAGUCUAAAAUUCUACUCUGAUUAGCUUUGAGUGCUGAGACAAUGAUCUUAAAAUAUUCCACUUCAGGCUAUCCUUCGUUUGUAAGUAUGGUGCUCAUUGACUUGUAACCUGCGCCAUGAAUUCAUAUGCAAUGUAAUUCAAGGCUGUUUUGACCAUCUCAUGGUUGCUAACUUGCUGAGUUAAUAAAUUCCAGUUUCCUAUGUAUUUGGAGAGAAAACAUUGCUUGUUGGUCUGAGUCAUUCAUGUACGAUAUGCUUAGAAUUUUUUAGAUGAACGAUGGAUAAGCAAAACAAUGGUAGUCCUUCAACUGAUCGUUGUUCUUAAAAUUUCUUAUUAUGCACAAAUAUUUACCUUUUAAUCCAAACUCAAAAUGCCAAUUGAGACAAGAUCCUUCGGUCAGCUAGAAUAUUUCUCUACUAUGUUCGACUAUGAUAGGAAACUUGUCAAUGGAGAUAUUUAAACCACUACAGUUCUGAAUUGUAGUUAAUCUACAUAGUUGAAAUGGCGAAUAUGUUAGCCCAUAUUUCUCAUACAUGAAGAGCAUGAGUUGAACUGUAGUCCUGGGAUUAAAUGAAUAAAAUGGGUGUUAGCCUAUGUAGGCCUGAAGAUUUCGCUUGUUCAUUCGUAUGAUUCAUCAAGGUUUCCAGUGAACUGUCCAUUACUCUUGCCUAUUUUCUUUUCAGGUAUUAGGCAUGUUGUCCUUUAGUAUAACAAAGUCACUAUCCUUGAAUUAAACAAUUGAUAUCAUAUAGAUGUGACGCAAAGCCAGUAUGUCUCUGACAAAGACAAGAGAGUCUCCUACAUGAUCCACACAAAAUAGGCUUCAGGACAAAGCAUUGUAAGUAUUGUAUUUGCUCUGGUGGCCAGAGGUGGGUCGCCGCCGGGCACGCGCCGCCGCCGGCAUCCACGAUGUAGGAGCCAAGGAAGGGGUGAUGCAUCGUGGCGGGCGUCUGCGCCGCCCGAGCCCAAGAAUGGCCCGAGCCGUCAUGGUGGGUGUGCUUUUGCGUCGCCCGAGCGCAGGAAUGGAGAAUGGCGUUGCUGCGCCUCUCCAUUAAUUACACAUUUAACAUUAUUAUACACAUUUAUUACAAUUAAUGUCGCAUAAUGGCACAACAAGCAGGUUGGAUACUUUUUCUUACCCGAUGCAACACACGGGCAUUUGUACUUGAUCCAAAUAAAUAGUUGGUUGUAAAUGACAUUCAGUUUCUAGCUUACAACGGAAUCUAGACAUGUAUUCUUUAACAAUAUUAUGUGCUUGAUUAUGGUCCUAUGUAUUGGUUGAGAUUGUUAUGUUGUUUACUACCAAUAUUUUUUCUUACCCGAUGCAACGCACGGGCAUUUGUACUAGUAUAUAUAAAUAGUAUAAGGGUUGUGUGUGGGAAAGACGCCUGCUCGGCAAGGGGCCCACGUAACCAGUGGCGAUUUGCAAAUUAGCAACCUCUUCACGGUCCCAAAAGCAUGGAUUGUACAUAAUAAACAUAUGUAAACUAAUCCUGACACUCCCCACACCAUCUGUACCGUUCCUUUGCUUAUUGGGUUGCUUUGACUAUCCACCUCAUUACAAGCUUUUGCCAUAGAUCUAGUGUUAGAAAAGUCAGCAAAAUGACAAAACCAAAGACGUGUACUAGCUUCGCUUCUAGACGUCCAUACAAUGGGAGUGGUCGGUAUUGAAUUGCUUUGCGUGGUUGACUGUUCAAAUCGUUAGAAGUUUCCACCUAACUUCAGUAUUUGAAUAGUAUGCAUAUAGCAUGAUAAGGCCAAGACUUGGACGAGCUUAGCUUCUAGACCAUACAAUGUGGGUGGUCUGUAACUUGCCACUUACUAACUACAGACAUAGCUCUGAUGAAAUUUUCAGAGCUGUUAUUUUCAUUAUUUUUGCUGAUUGCUGAGUGCUGAGUCAUUGUAUUUAAUAUUUAUGUGUAUAACAAACAUAUAACUCGUUCAUUUUUUGGGGUGGAUUAAACUGAUCUUGGGAAUUAUUUACUUCUAAUAUAUCAAAAUUUCUGUAUUUCAGGUAGUGGCAAACAAGGAAGAGUUGCCAACAUUCAGAAAUCUCUGGACCUUAAUGCUAGCUGUGUGAUCUGAGUAUCUGACCCACAAUGUGCAGAUAUUAUUGGUGUUAUUGAGUCAAUCUUGGAUAGAAAUUUCAACUCCAACUUGUCUACCGUGAUGUGCAUGGUUGACUGUCCGAAUCAUGAUAAAUUCUAGCCAUAACUUAGGUAUAGGAAAAGUAUGAAUGGCAAGACCAAGACGUGGCGAUACUCCUCUGUAGUCCAACUUAAAUCUUAUUAACGCGGGAUGUUGGUAUCAUAAAUAUAUAUGACCAUGCAUGAGUUGGUAACAGCAUCAUUUCUGGCACUCGGCUGUGCUCACAUGUCCUCCAAUUGAGGGAGGGAGAGAGAGAGGGAGGGAGAGAGAGAUAAGGCACGGUGAAGAAGAAUACCAUGUCGCAUGUAGCCAGUUUGCUCGCGUCGGCUGUGAUCCCAGUGGUGGCCAAUAAGCUGGGUUCCGUCAUUGGGGAUGAGGUCACGAUGCUGUGCAGCUUCAAGAACGACCUCAAGGAGUUGAAGGACACGUUAGAGUACAUGGAGGCGGCGCUCAAGGAUGCUGAGAGGCGGUCUGUCAUGGAGGAAUUGGUGCGGUUGUGGCUCAAGCGGCUCAAGAACGCUGCCUACGAUAUCUCUUACAUGCUCGAUGAGUUCCAAGCCAAUAGUGAACCAACCUCCAGAAAGGUACAUAUAUGCCGCAUGUCUUCUCUCAAUAAGUUUUUUUCUUUAAUAUUCCUAGCUAGUAUGGUUUUUGUUGCUUUAGUUAACAAUUUGGUUAUUUUAUAGUGUCCGCAAAACCAUGAUCGUCUGAAAUUACUUUCCCAUGUAAGAAACUUGUGCGCCAGUUAAAUUUCAAUGUUUGAAGCUUGAAAUUUGUUGGUGCCCUUCUAAAUUUUCUGAACGAUUGGUGUACAAGAGUGAUUUAUAGCCUACUUAAAUCAGCUCUUGUGUACAAAUCCUGGCCAUGAAACCGGGUGUCCAAGAAUAAAUAAAAACUGAACUAUAAGGGAGUUAUAUCUGUUUUACAUCCGUGCAAAAGUUAUAAGUUAAUUCCAAGUGUGUCGCAAUAUGCAUCUACCAUGCAGCAGUUCUCUGGUAGAGGGGAUCGAAAAUAGUUCAUCUUAUUAAUGCCGUCGGAUGAAGAUGCUCCCAGGUUUUGUAAUAUAUCAUUAUAACUUGUUGAAAUUCCUUCCUAGAUUAUUGGAAAGCUGGACUGUUUUGCUAUUGCACCCAAGGUUACCAUGGCUUAUAAGAUGAAGAACAUGAGAGAUCAGCUGAGGAAGAUCAAAGAGGAUCACGAGAGUUUCAAAUUCACACAUGAUAACUCCAGCCUAAUUAAUAUGUGGCAAUUUCCUGAUCCACGGGAAACAACAUCAGAUGUGACUGAAUCACUCAUCAUAGGGAGAGACAGAGACAGAAUGAAUGUCCUUUCUUUGUUAUCCACAAGCAACAGCAAGGAACAUAUCACAAUUCUUCCUAUUUGUGGGCUUGGAGGAAUAGGAAAGACAACUUUGGCACAACUGGUCUUCAGUGAUGCUCAAUUCAAAGAUUAUGAUCAUCGGGUAUGGGUCUAUGUAUCCCAGGUGUUUGACAUGAAAAAAAUAGGGAACUCCAUAAUUUCUCAAGUAGAAAAAGGAAGCCAGAAUCUAGAUACAAGGCAGUUGAUAAACCAACAUCUUAAACAUCUACUUCAAGACAAGAAGACACUGCUUGUUUUAGAUGACCUAUGGGAGACAGAUAGCACCCAACUGAAUCAACUCAAGCUUAUGUUAAAUGUAAGCUCCAAGAUAAGAGUCUUAGUCACCACACGUAGCAUAGACAUUGCAAGAAAAAUUUGUACUGUUGAACCAGUAAAGCUAGAUCCCUUGGACAAUGACAUGUGCUGGAGAAUAAUCAAGCAAAACAGUGGCUUCGAAUCUAGAGCUGAUAAAGAGCAAAUCGAGCCAGUUGGACAGACAAUUGCAAAGAAAUGUGGAGGUUUGCCAUUAGCAGCUCAAGCACUUGGAUUUUUGCUAUCUGGAAUGAAUCUUAGUGACUGGGAAGCAAUAUGCAAUAGUGAUAUUUGGGAUGAACCAUUUUUUGAUAGUACAGUGUUGCCAUCCUUGAAAUUAAGUUACAAUACUUUGACACCAUAUCUGAGGUUAUGCUUUGCCUAUUGUGGCACCUUUUCUAAAGGUCGCAAUAUAAGUAAAGAUGAUCUCAUCCACCAAUGGAUUGCUCUGGGUUUCAUCCAGUCAUCUACUAACUUUUCGGCCAUACAACUUGGCGAGAAGUAUGUUAGGCAAUUCAUGGGGAUGUCUUUCCUUCAGCAUUCAAAAUUGCACAAGGUAAGUUACUAUGGCAUACCUAUACAGUUAGAAACUUAGAAUAAAGAGUAUUUUUUACCCAAUUAUGAAAUGACAUGGAACAGUUACUGCACAAAAGCAUACAUGGUAUAUUUUUUGACAGUUUGGUACAUUAAUCCAAGUAUAUGUUUUGCCCUUCAUGGCAAAUAAAGCACUCCAGAUAUUAGUGCAUUAGAUCAUGCUCCACACUCUUUCCUCUAAAAAUUGCCCAACUGUGGGGAACCUAUAUAUGGACCCGCGGCAAGAAAAAACAAAAGUAACUCCUUCAUCCAUCCUGUUGUAGUUUACCCUUGCCAAAAGCCAUCCUGUUGUAUUUUGUUUGCCUUAUCAAAUACAGUAAGUAUAUAUAUAGUGUACUUGGCUGAAUAAUCAUUUUCCGUCAAAGAAUGUAACACAUGCAUACAAGAUGGAAGAAUCCAAUUAAGAGUUCGGGAGAUGUGCCAGUAAGUUGCAUUAGAAUACUCUAAAGUUAUGUCAUUCCCUUAGUAAAUACUUCCACGCUUGCAUAUUUGCACCACCAAAAGAGGUGGCACAUGCGGAAAAAUAUAUCAAUUCUGACCACCUGGCCAGCUUGACAUUGAAGAGACUCAUAUUGGUGCAUUAGAUUAUACUCCGUUCCUCUAAAAAUUGUCCAAAGUGUGGGGAACCUAUAUAUGGACCUGACGCAAGAAAAAGAAAAAGAAAACUCCUUCAUUCAUCAUGUUGUAGUUUACUCUCAUCAAAAGCCAUUUGGAUCACUACACAUACAGUUAAUAUAUAGUAUUGUAUUUUGAUUGGCUUAUCGUAUAGAGUUUUUAUAUUUGGCUGAACAAUAAUUUUCCCUAAAAAAUGUAACACAUCCAAAUAGGUAGGUAGAGACGUACAGUGCACGCCUCUACAUAUAAAAAAAGAGAAAAGAUAACGCCCAUACGCCGCCCACACGCAUGGAUCUGCGUCCGUUUUUGGUUUGCACUAACCUUGGCAGAUUUUUUAUGCCAUGUAGGAAGGGGCUAGUGUGUGGGCGUUUAGCAGUUCGCUCACAUACCUGUUUCACGCACGCAGAGUUCGCGGCUGCCAACUCGACGUGUGGUUGAACUGAUGUCGCGCCCACACGCCGCAUACAUGUCAGUUGCCAUGUUUUCCGAGUGUUACAUGUAAACAGAGUAGAACUGUCAUGCCCGCAUGCCUGUCAGUUGUCAUGUCUUCCGAGUUUUACAUGGCAACUGAGUGGAAUUGCCGUGCCCGCAUGCCUAUCAGUUGCCAUGUCUUCCGAGUGUUAUAUGGCAACUGAGUGGAACUGUAGUGCCCACAUGCGUGUCAGUUGCCAUGUCUUCCCAGUGUUAUAUGGCAACUGAGUGGAACUACCGUGCCCGCAUGCCUGUCAGUUGGCAUGUCUUUCCAGUAUUACAUGACAACUGAGUGAAACUGUCACGUGAGGGGCACGUGAGACCGCGGGGUGGCAGGCCGAAUGUGUGGGCCGCGAGGCAGAAGGCCGGACGUGUGGAUGUUAGUUGUUUUGCCCACACGUAUGCAUGUGGAUUGUUUCUCUACACACCAUACGAGACGUGUGGCAAGACUCCUUAACGUCCACACGUUGCCGCCACGUCCAUAAAAUGCAUGGGAAAUGCACAUUGAUGCAUGAAGAAACCCACGCCAUGUCGGCUCCGCCGUCGACACUGCCCUACUCCUCUCUGGUAGCCGCUGACCUCCCCUACCCCGUCCCACACCUCCACCGUCUGUCAUCCUUCUCUCCGGCCGCCAAGCGCCCUCGGUCACUGUCUGCACCACCGCAUGGUCCUCCGUGGCCACCUUGACACCACAGGAAGCUCCUCCACCACCUUAUCGAGCCCUCCUCGUGUAGGUGACCCACGGUGAAAAGUAAGCCGUUGCAUACACCCUGCAACAGCCAUGAGCUCUACCUCCGCCAGCAGGACCUCCACCAGCUCAUUGUUGGCUUUUGAUCGCUGGAUCAAAUCAUCCAAAGCAAACACACAUACGUGCAAAGCUAGUUAGCAGCCUGAUGGAUUCACCUGGCUCCUACGUACGCAUGUACGAGUCGCCGGCUGCUAGUCACUCGAACUCUCACGAGACAACACGCCGAGCUGGCCAAAGGCUCAUGUCGAGCCUUCGUAAUCUUUUUUUAUCUGAUCUCGUACACGGGGGUAUACAUGUAUGUAUACUACUAGAGCCAGCUCCCUUAGCUAAACCUAUUCAGCUUUGAACUCUAAUACUACAUGGACACGGACACAACAUUGAAGACGUACUCUGUGUCGUGCUUACCUAACAUUCAUCCCCUAAACAUGACAUGGUCGUCAUUACGGACCUCGGUCCCAAAUGUGAUUACUUGUAGGUUUCAUCCUGGGCGUUUUCUUCAUCGUUCCUUGUAGACUCCCAGUCACCGUGUCUGCUAUCGUCGGCUCAUUCGAGCCUUGACGACAACACUCCUUCUUGGUCGCAUCUUCAAUCUUCACCUCUUCUUCGGUGCUUUGUAGAUUGUCCUUCGAAUCAUCGAAGGCACAUCUUUUGAACCUGAGCGUGACCAUACUUUGAUCUAACUUUAAAUUCCAAGCUACUGGCGCUUGUUUCAGUCCGUAAAGUGACUUCUUGAGCUUGUAAACUUUCACUUGUUCGUCUUUCUUCUCGUAGCCGAGGGGUUGUUUCACGUACACUUUCUUUGUGAGAUCAUCGUUGAGGAAAGCGGAUUUAACAUCCAUAUGAUGAACCUUCCAAUCCUCUUGUGCUGUUAAAGUUAGGAGCACUCUCACUAUCUCGAGUCGAGCAACCGGUGCAAACACAUCAUCAUAGUCAACUCCUUGACGUUGUACGUAGCCCUUUGCAACGACUCUUGCCUUGUACUUCACAAUGGCACCCUCCGUGUCCUUCUUUAACUUGUAAACCCACUUCAAACCUAUCGCCUUUUGGUUUGGAGGUCGGGUUACCAAAGUCCAUGUGCCAUUGCUCUCAAUCGUCUUCAUCUCCUCAUCCAUGGCGUGCGUCCAACUACGACUUUUGCUCGUCUCUACGAAGUUUGCCGGCUCCUCAACUCCGAGCAGACAUAGUCCGGAGUAUUCGAGCGUAACUGGCUUGGUGUACUUGUAGACUUUCUUGAGCAUCUUGUAGCGACGAGGCCCUGAGGAGUCCGUUGUGGCUUGCGAAGGAGGUGACACAAAUUGUGUCGAUGCUGAUGCACUUGAGGAAGAUGGCUGAGACCCGGGCGUUCAUCGACAUCAGUGUCGUCGGCGUAGUCGUCGUGACCAUGACCAUCAUCUUGAUUGUCGUCAUCACUAUGCGCCUCGUUGUCGAUGUUGUCGUCGAGAUCUCUGCCCGUGUCACGCGCGUCGUUGUCGCUAUCUCCUUGCGACCUAUGCGUGUCGUCAUCGGUGUCGGCACCAUGAUGAUCACUGCCAUGGUGAUCACCUUGGUUGGGCGUCUUGCCAACCACCUCGACGUCUUCUCCUGCAUCAUCGUCAGUUGGAAAUUCAACUGUGAAUAUGUUACCGUUUGGAGCAUCGUCGGCUGCUGCGCUCCAAUUCCACGCUUUGUUUUCUUCAAGCACGACGUCGCGUGAAACCCGUAGAUGCUUGGUUUGUGGAUCAAAGAAGCGGUACGUCUUGGUGCCGGAACUCCUCUCAUAUCCGAUGAACACCAUUUUGGUGCUACGAUCGGCAAACUUUAAGAGGUGCGGCUCCGCCGUCUUCAUAUGUGCCACGCACCCGAACGUCCUUAGAUGAGACACAUUUGGCUUACGUCCGUAAAUUGCUUCAUACGGAGUCUUGCCGAUCACCGCCUUCAUUGGAGCCCGGUUGAGAAGAUAGACCGCCGUCGAGACAACUUUUCCUCAAAAAGUCCCCGGCAGGUUCUUGCUCUUGAGUAAACUCCUUGCCAUGUCAACGACGGUUCGAUUGCACCUUUCAACGACCCCGUUCUGUUGUGGCGUAUAAGGUGUCGUGAGGAACCUUUUUCUACCAAUCUUCUAGCAGUAAUCGUUGAAUUCGUUCGACGUAAACUCUCCACCGCGAUCUGUCCGUAGAGCACGAACCUUCAGCUUGUGUUCCAUCUCCGUUGCAGCCUUCAGCUUCUUGAAUGCUUCAAACACCUCAUCUUUAGAUCGUAGGAGAACGACUCACAUAUAUCUCGAGUAAUCAUCUACCACAAGGAAGAAGUACUUCUUUCCUGCAUGAGUUGCCGGGGUGAUAGGGCCACACAGAUCACCAUGGAGCAGCUCAAGUGCAUCACUUGCACGAUAGAUAGACUGAACAGGGAACGGCAUGCGGUGCUGUUUUCCAACCAAGUACCCGUCACAUACUCGAUCAACAUGGUCGAUAACUGCAUCCCGGAUACCAUCUCCAUCUUUGACAUCUUCUUCAAGGCGUAGAAGUUAACGUGUCCAAAUCUAGCAUGACAUAACCACGAAUCAUCAUCACUCUUGGCGAGCCAACACUCCGAUUGAGAUUGAUCAAGGUUGAGGAUAUAGAGCCUAUUCCGUGUGCGAUUAACAUGAGCUAGUAUGUUUCGGAGGUUGUCGAAGAUCGUCAUCACUCCUUUCUUGAUAUCCACCUUGCAUCCAUUCUCGUCAAGCUUCCCAAUAGAGAUGAUGUUGUUGCGAAGCCGUGGGAUGUAGUACACUCCCGUGAGUAUGCGAUGUUCGCCUGUGAGACCCUCGAAGAGGAUAGAUCCUUGCCCGCAAAUCUCCACAGCUGAACCAUCACCGAACUUGACCGAGCCUUCAACAUCGUAUUCCAGCUCGAGGAAUUUCUCCUUGCACCCCGUCAUGUGGUUACUGGCACCCGUGUCGAGAUACCACGACACGUUUUGUUCACCGGAUAACUUUGGUGUCACUUUUUUCUCAUGAAGUAGCACCUUCCGGCUUGGUUUCGCAACUACUGUUUCAGUGAGAUCACAAACUUCGGCCAUCAGAAGACCUGGACCUUCAUCUUCCUGCUUUGUCAAAUUUGCCUUGAUCUCCCGCUUGUUAGGCUUCGGACAAUCCUUCGCAAAGUGACCCAUCUCGUUGCAGUUAUAGCACUUGACCUCGGAUAAAUCCAAGUUCCCUGGCUUCCGCUCUUUAGAUUGGUCCGCCUUACCACGACCUUGUGGCUUGCCUUUUCUUUUGCCUUUUCCGGUUUGUCCGUCGCGCUUCGCGUUGCUUGAGCCUUCGCCACCGUCACGCCUUCCUUUGCUACUUGGGGCCUUCCAAUCUACGCGCGAGUACAUGAGUUGGUCACUACCUCCUCCUUUGUCUUUCCGACAGCCACGAGCAUUCUCUUCCCACGUUUGCAGGCGUCCGAUCGCCUCCGUUAUGGUCAUGUCAUCGAUGUCGUAAAGCUGCUCGAGUGUGUUGAUGAUGUACGUGAAUUUGUCAGUCACUGAACUGAAAAAUUUCUCCACAAUCUCGGUCUCAUCGAGCUUUGCACCAAGCGCGCGGAUCUCUCCCACCAAAGUAGUAAGACGCAUGGCGUAGUCGUUCACCGAUUCAGUCUCCUCCAUCUGCAACUUGUGAAAUUGGCGCUUCAGCACUUGUGCCCGAGCCUUGGUGACGCAAUCUUCUCCGAUCCUCAUCUCCUUGAGUGCGUUCCACGCCUCUCUUGCCGUCUCGAACUCCGCCAAUGUCAUCAGCACGGAAUCCGGCACGGACUGGGCUAUGGCGGCCAUGGCACCUUCGUCGGACUCGUCAUCGACGUCGUCGUCCGUGAUUGCCUGCCACACUCGGAGGGUUCGGAGAAUAAUCUUCAUCUUCACCGCCCACACGCCAUAGUUGGCAUUGAUGAGCAUCGGGUAAUGGAUGGGGACGUUGGCGCCGUUCGUUCCUCCACCACUCGUUGCUGAUCGACUUGAUGCCCUUCUUCACCUUGCCGCCGUUCUUGUUCGACUUGGCACCGCCUUUGCCGGACUUGACCGACUCAGCGUCGUUGUCCGUCAUUGUAGAUCGUAGAUCGUCGAGGCUCUAGAUACCAAUUGUUGCCUUUUGAUCGCUAGAUCAAAUCAUCCAAAGCAAACACACAUACGUGCAAAGCUAGCUAGCAUCCUGAUGGAUUCACCUGGCUCCGAGGUACGCAUGUACGAGUCGCCGGCUGCUAGUCACUCGAACUCUCACGAGACAACACGCCGAGCUGGCCAAAGCUCGUGUCGAGCCUUCGUAAUGUUUUUUAUCUGAUCUCGUACACGGGGUAUACAUGUAUAUAUACUACUAAAGCCAGCUUCCUUGGCUAAACCUAUUCAGCUUUGAACUCUAGUACUACACGGACACGGAUACAAUAUUGGAGACGUACUCCAUGUCGUGCUUACCUAACACCGUUGACAUUGAGUUCCGCGCACAUGAGGUGCUGAUGAAAUCCCUACAAGGUGCUCGACGAAAUAGGACGAGAGAUAGAACCAACUUAAAACAUAGGUAGAGCAUUAUAGGCAAAUUGCUAGAGGAGAGGGCCACACCCCAGUCUGGUUACCGACCUCCUCUACUCCCCGUUCUCACAUCUGCCGACCGUAGAGCCCAAACACGAUGACGUCCGAAUUCCUCUCGUCCCGGCACGGGUUGUCGUCCUCCGCAAGCCAUCCACCGUUGUCCGUGCCAUUGCAUGGAUAGCCGUCACUACCCAGAUCCCACGCGGAGCUCUUCCGCCUCCUUGUCGCGCCCCCGUUGUGAAGGUGACCCACGAGUUCUACCUCCACCAGCAUGACCUCCCCAAGUUCCGUGUCGACAUCAUGGACCCAAUUAUAGUAGCUCCCGCCUGCGUUGGAUUUGGCACACAUGAGGAACUCAACGAAAAAGGAAGAGAGGUAGAACUAGAAACACAAUGCAAUAUAGGUGGAUGCAUUGCAGGUAAAUUCCUGGAGGAGGGGCACUUUUUUUGCUCUACGUAUUAGGCCAGUCAUAAUGGGAGUAACAUAAAUAGUAACGUAGAUGUCAACUAAGCAAAAAUGAUGAUGUCACGCGUAGUUAAUGACGAGAGAGACAAAUAGAGUAACAUAUUAAGUUACUAUCACAUAGUGCUUAACAAUGCAAAAAUGAUUUUACAAAGCAAUAAGUGAACUCAUAUCAUAUCUAUGACACUAUCCACUAUUAAAAUAGUAACAUAUACUAGUAACAUAUGCCUGUUACUAGUCUAAGUUACUCUCCACUAUGACUAACCUUAUAGGCACUCUACCUAAAAAAAUAUUAGGCUGAGAAAUUUAGAUAACUGCCCGACUUGCUCUAAGCGAGUUAGGCUGAGAAAUUUAGAUAACUGCCCGACUUGCUCUAAGCGAGUAAGGCCAAGCAUAGGUGGGAUGUUUUUUAAGGCAUGUGCAGUAGGGCUGCUGUGAAUGUGUCGAGCGAGGGGAAACCCUUUUUCGGUAAUAUGUCGAGCGAGAGCGCAGAACAAAGACAAUUUUAUAGCCUGUCAAGUUGAGCAUAUUAGUCUCUCUGAAUGAUCAUGUCACAUCAUUUAUAUAAAUAUUAUUAUUUUUGUUUCAGGAUUUUCCAAAAACAACUUUCACCAUGCAUGAUCUGGUGCAUGAUCUUGCAAGAUCGGUCAUUACUGAAGACUUAGCAGUCUUUGAUGCUAAAAGAGCGAGCAGUACUAGAAGAAAUGAAUACUGCCGCUAUGCAUCUCUUACAAAUUACAAUAUUUCAGAUUACAACAAGGCAAGCAAGAUGUCAACUAUUUUCCUACCUAAGUUAAGGGUGAUGCACUUUUUGGAUUGUGGAUUCCAUGGUGGUGCAUUUUCGUUUCCAAAGUGUCUGCGUGUCUUGGAUCUAUCUAGAUGCUCCAUCACAGAGUUUCCAAGCACCGUAGGACAAUUGAAGCAACUGGAGGUUCUUAUUGCUCCAGAGCUGCAAGAUCGACAAUUUCCCGACAGUAUCACUCGUCUCUCAAGAUUACAUUACCUGAACCUCAAUGGAUCACGUGAAAUUUCAGCAAUACCAAGCUCGGUUAGCAAACUUGAGAGUCUUGUGCAUCUUUACUUAGCUUACUGUACUAGUGUCAAAGUCAUACCAGACAGCCUUGGAAGCUUAAACAACCUUCGUACACUUGACUUAUCAGGGUGCCAGAAACUAGAGUCUCUUCCAGAGAGCCUUGGAAGCCUUGAAAACAUCCAAACACUCGAUCUCUCAGUCUGCGAUGAACUAAAGUCCCUUCCUGAGUGCCUUGGAAGCCUAAACAACCUUGAUACCCUUGACCUCUCAGGCUGCCGUAAACUAGAGUCCCUUCCAAAGAGCCUUGGAAGCCUGAAAACCCUUCAAACACUAGACCUCUCAGGCUGCGGUAAACUAGAGUCCCUUCCAGAAAGCCUUGGAAGCCUGAAAACCCUUCAAAGAAUGCACCUCUUUGCCUGCCAUAAACUAGAGUUCCUUCCGGAGAGUCUUGGAGGCCUCAAAAACCUUCAAACACUCGACCUCUCGCACUGCGAUAAAUUAGAGUCCUUACCAGAGAGCCUUGGAAGCCUACAAAACCUUUAUACAUUUGACCUCUCAAGCUGCUUUGAACUAAAGUCCCUACCAGAGAGUCUUGGAGGCCUCAAAAACCUUCAAACACUAGACCUCACAUUCUGCCAUAGACUAAAGGACCUUCCAGAGAGCCUUGAAAGCCUCAAAAACCUUCAAACACUUAACCUCUCUGGCUGCUAUAGGCUAAAGUCCCUUCCGAAGGGCCCUGAAAACCUGAAAAUCAUUGGAAGAGAUUGAAGUUAUGGAUAUAAGAGCAUCAAUUUUUUGACACGUUGUAUACAACAGAUCACCUGGCCCUCGAUGUUAGAUAACGCGUGCAACAUAGAGUGAGCUGAGGCUGCUAUGUGAACAAGGCUUUCCCAGCAUAAAAAACAUUGUAAGUGCUCUACCAAGUUUUACUAUGUAAAUGCGGCCUUCUAAGCCUUCUUUAUGCUGCACGCAAUGUACAUUUGUUGUUAUUUUUCAUACAGUAGCCUGGAGUUUCGAACAAAACUGAAACGCACACUAACCAGAUGCUGAACCUAUUCUAUUUUCUACAGAAACUGCAGACGUGAUCAAUCAGCUGAAGUGAUGGGAGUACGUCCUGUCUGGGAGAGCAAAAAAAGCUUCAUGGAGCCGUCCAAAGAUGAGGUCUAAGCUCUGUACAUGGUGACUUGAGUAUUGAAUUCAGUACUCUGGUCAUACUCCCAUGUUCAUACUCUAUUUACACAUGGUGACAUGAGUAAACGUAGUAGACUGGUCGAAAAACCUUAUAUGGUGUGGCAGUUGUGCUGUGAGCAUUCCAAACUGAAGGAACGCUCGCCAGUUUCCACCAAUUAAUGCUUCUAUUGUGGAGGACUGACCCUAGCCGCCACCGCUCGCACCUCCUCCCCGCCACACCACCCCUUACCCUCGCCGCCGCCAGAGGACGCCACCGGGCGAAGCCCAACUGGUGUGGGCGGCGGCGGGGCUCCUUCUCCCUCCUCCCAUGGUGGCUACAGCGCGGGACGUGGCGAGCGGGCGAGGAGCGCGACACUAUCGUAUGGGAGAUCUCGUCGUAGGGCGUUGCGUCCGCGACUCGGACGGCCGGCCUUGGGCACGGCGGUGCGUGGGUGCGGCGGCGGCUGCAUGAAGGUGGUCGAGCGGGCCGGCACACCGUGAUGGCGGGGCUGCUGGUGCCAGUUUCCUCAGAUCUGGCGCCGGGAGCCGAUGGCUCUAGGCAGCACAGGCCGGCGUCCUUCGUCAUGGCAGCGUACGUGAUGGAGGGAGCGGUGUGGUGGUGGUCUUUGUGCUCUUAUCACAUCUCGGCAAUGGUAUGCAUGAUCGGUCCUUCUUGAUCUGGCCGUCGACGUGUUCCGAAUCUACUGCCGGAGAUCUUGCCCAAGAAUUUUUGGAUCGAUAUGAAUCCGGUCGUAUGCGUCCAUAACAGGCUACUGAGCUCCGUGAGGGCGUACCACGAAGCUCUAUUGUUUGUUGACAUCAUGGGACAUGUUGAUAUCUCGAUUUCUAUGGCACAGACAGUGGCGGAGAAAGUCAUGAUGGCUAAGAUCGAAGGCUCGAUAAGGCGGACGGGGCCUUGGAUGUGAUGGAGUCAGUCAGGUGUUUGAUAACUUUCAGAAGCAGCAGUGACAAGUGGGAUGGCAACAUUGGGGGAUUUCAUUUUUGGUGGUGCUCUAAGGGUGCUGAGUCGUGACUUUGAUGGUGAAAACCUAAGGUCUGACCUUCAAUGGUUGUGCCUGGCAUUACCUUGUUGAAAAUAUUGUUUUGAGAGCUCGGUCUUCUCCAGGGUGAAUAUCUAAGAUGUUGGAUCGGCGACGACGGUGCUUGUGCACUGUUUCCUUCUUAAAGAUGUCGCUUUUCGAGACCUAUUAUGUCUUCCGGGUUUUGUCUUUGGUGGUGGUUUGCGUGCUGCUGUUGAGAGAAGUUGACCACUAUGACGAUACCAUUUUUCUUCCUUUCUUUUUCUUUUCUUUUCGGGUUGUGUGCACUCUGGAUGUCUUUGUGAUAUCUUGUUGGUGCAGAGGCUAGAUGUAAUUGGUAUCUUCGUGAUAUUAAUAUAUUCCGCUUUUUAAAAUAAAAAAUUAAUUCUUCUAUACUCGCGUGUCGUGGCUGCUUUAAUUCUUAGAGAGACUAAGAGCAUCUCCAACGGCUGCCCAACCCGCCGCGCACAAAAUAUCUGUUUACGGCGCGCCCAUCCAAAAAUUUAGCGCGUCGUGGAACGCUGCCUCCAGCGGAAGCCCAAAAAUUAGGCGCGCGCGGGACACUCCAGCAGAAGCCCAAAAGGAGGGCGCGUGGCGGGACAUGGGCGACUGAGAUUCGGUGAAAGUGCGUGUGACGAUCGCUGUAUUUUAUAAGCGUGCUGGACGCCCGCCCGCCUUCUUUCCCGCACGCGCCCGCCCGUCUUCUUUCCCGCACGCGUAAUCGUUUUCCGUACGCGCUAGUUACCGCGUCCGUUGGAGCACGUGAAGCGUCUCGCACGCGUUAAAAUAAAGUUUUAACGUACGGACGCGUUUUGACGCGGCCGUUGGAGAUGCUCCUACAAGCUAAGCUGGAGUGAUGAAAGGGCCGUUGGUUCCUUUGGUGCCGUUUGACGACAUGCUCCUCCUGUACUGUGCUUCUCUCUUUGAUUUGCCUGUUUUGCUCAUUUCCUGCUGGUGAUGUGGUCUCCUCCUUCGUUAGUCACGGUGGGCAACUUCGUCAAUGCGAUUUUGCUUUCCUCGCAUAUGCCAGACACGUCGGUGGCAAGAAUAACCCCUGACUUGGCAUGUUGCAUCACAUCUUGUGUGUGUUUAAAGCAUGUAUUUAUCUGCAUUCAUUUCAUGUUUAACAUGUCCCACUAUCCAGGACGCACAACCGCAGUAUCCACAGCGGCCUCCUCCGCGCUGUGGUUGUGCCUCCUCCGUUCGGAGGCACAACCGCACUAUCCACAGUUCGUCAGCCCUGCAAUCACGCGGACGAAGGAGACGACAAAAGCGCAGCGCGUUUCCUCCGUUCGCUACCGCGACCGAUGGGCACUUAUAAUGAAACAACAAAUGCCACGUCAGCUCGAUCGGAAUCAAUACUCAAAACGUAUUAUGAAUGAAAGUGAAUGAAUGAAUUGUUGUCUUCAUUGAUCAUCAAUAAUUUAGGAAUGUCGGUUACAAGGUAAAGGCGCCUGUAGGAGGCGUCGCUAGAGGGAGAGGCGUCCGUGCGCUCCAAACAGGCGCAUGUAAAGAGGAAAAGGCGGGCUUUGGGCACUAGGUUAACUGCUUAAAGCAGUUAACAUCUAAUCCUAACACUCCCCCUUGCACAAAGCUAUGUCUUGUAUGUCUCUUGUCCUUGUAUAAUCUUGAAGAUACUACAUGUAGUCUUGAUGAUCUUUGAAGUUAAUAGUUACUCCUUCAAAAAUCCUGUAAGAAAAAUAUAAGGAGAAUAGUAUUUGAUAUGUUGUGAAAACUCCUUUAAAACCCGAUGGAAAAAGUAAGGAGAAAAUGAUACAACAUAUAAUGAUCAUUGUCUCUUUGAUAACUUAUAUGAGAAAACCUUGAAAGGAUAAAACUCAUUGGUAAGUUUAGAAGACAAUUAAUAUGUCUUGUAUACUUCCGUUAAAAACCCCAGUGGGGAAAAUAGGAUGUAUGACAUAUAUUCUUGUGUUGAUAUUACCUCAUUAAAAACCUUGAUGAGAACAGAUGAGUAAACUCAUAAAGGGAAAAGAGUGUAAUAUAAUGUUUGAACGGGUUAUUUUUCAGAGAGAAACUCCCCCUGAUCUUUGCAAAUCCCGAAGUCGUCGCAUACCUAUCCCAUGAACAUAUUUUUCGAAUGUUGAAGCUGGGAGUGAUUUUGUUAAUGGGUCACCGAGAUUAUCGCACGAUUUGACUUGUAAAAUGUUUAUCUUUCCUUUCUUCUGUAAUUGAUGGGGAAAAAAUAAUUUAGGAGAAAUAUAUAUGCUUAGUGAUAUUGCUCUUUAUGUAACCCGUUUGCAUUUGAGCAACACAAGUAGCAUUAUCUUCGUAGAUAAUGGUUGGAGAUUCGAUAAGACCUUUACCACACGAUUGUUGUAUGUGGUUUAUCAUUCUGCGAAGUCAUACACAUUCGCGUGAUGCCUCAUAUAAUGCGAUUAUUUCAGAAUGAUUGGUGGAUGUAGCCAUUAGAGUCUGUUUAGAAGACUUCCAUGAGAUGGUUGUCCCACCAUGUAGGAAUACAAAACCGGUUUGUGAUCUGGCAUUGUGGGGGUCAGAUAAGUAGCCAGCAUCUGUAUACCCAAUCAAAUCAAUGUCCAAAUUUCUUUGAAAUUGAAAGAAUAGGUCAAGAUCCUUUGUGCCUUGUAGAUAUCGAAAGACAUUCUUAACUCCAGUCCAAUGGCGUUUAGUGGGAGUUGCGCUAUGUCUAGCCAGUAAAUUCACUGCAAAUGCAAUGUCAGGCCUCGUGCAAUUUGCAAGAUACAUGAGCGCUCCAACGGCACUAAGAUAUGGGACUUCAGGUCCCAAUAUCUCUUCUCCUUCAUCCCUUGGUCUAAAUUGAUCUUUCUCUAUGUCUAGAGAUCGAACAACCAUGGGAGUUUUGGAUUGAUAGGAUUUGUCCAUAUUGAAUUUCUCCAAUAUUUUCUGGAUAUAUGCGGUUUGAUGAACCAAAAUACCUGAGGGAAGGUGCUCGAGUUGUAAUCCUAAGCAAAAUUUGGUUUUACCCAAAUCCUUCAUUUCAAAUUCCGUCUUUAAGUGAUUGCGUGCUUCAUCAAUAUCUUCAGUGGUUUCAAUGAUAUUAAGAUCAUCAACAUACACUGAAAUAAUGCAAAAUCCGGUUGCGGACUUUUUUGUGAAAACACAUGGACAAUCAUCAUUAUUUGAGUAUCCUUUUUUCAAAAAGAACUCACUAAGUCGGUUGUACCACAUGCGACCCGACUAUUUUAAGCCGUAUAAAUACUUGUUUAAUUUUACACAAUAUGCAUUGCGUUUUGCGUUUGGAUUCGGGAUUGGGACUCCAUCAGGAACCUUCAUGUAUAUGUCCGAAUCAAGUGAACCGUAAAGGUAAACGGUCACUACAUCCAUCAACUGCAUAUAUAGACGAUUUUGUACUGCAAUAGAAAUACAGUGACUUCCCGCAAAAAAAAAAACAAUACAGUGACAUGCAUGCAUCGCGAUGCAAACCAACCAAUAGUAGUACUCCCUCCGUUCCUAAAUAUAAGACUUUAUAUAGAUUGCACUAUGAACUACGUACGGGUGUAUGUAGACAUACUUUAAAGUGUGGAUUUACUCAUUUUGCUCCGUAUGUAGUCUACAGUGAAAUCUCUACAUGGUCUUAUAUUUAGGAACGGAGUGAGUAGAAAGUAGGUAGAGAAGGUAAUAAAGUAGUCGGCGAGUGACCGACUAGCUAGGUGGUGGUGACCAUGGGCACAAGCUUNNNNNNNNNNNNNNNNNNNNNNNNNNNNNNNNNNNNNNNNNNNNNNNNNNNNNNNNNNNNNNNNNNNNNNNNNNNNNNNNNNNNNNNNNNNNNNNNNNNNNNNNNNNNNNNNNNNNNNNNNNNNNNNNNNNNNNNNNNNNNNNNNNNNNNNNNNNNNNNNNNNNNNNNNNNNNNNNNNNNNNNNNNNNNNNNNNNNNNNNNNNNNNNNNNNNNNNNNNNNNNNNNNNNNNNNNNNNNNNNNNNNNNNNNNNNNNNNNNNNNNNNNNNNNNNNNNNNNNNNNNNNNNNNNNNNNNNNNNNNNNNNNNNNNNNNNNNNNNNNNNNNNNNNNNNNNNNNNNNNNNNNNNNNNNNNNNNNNNNNNNNNNNNNNNNNNNNNNNNNNNNNNNNNNNNNNNNNNNNNNNNNNNNNNNNNNNNNNNNNNNNNNNNNNNNNNNNNNNNNNNNNNNNNNCAUGCCGUGGUACAGGACGUGGCCAAUGCCGACGACCUGCCCGGCAUGGCGGCGGAAGUCUUCCAGCAUGCGGUGCAUGGCGCGCUCCCGGGCGCCCUGCGCGGCGGCGAGGCUGCGCGGCGAGAAUAUGUGCGUGGCGGCGAUGCCACGCAGCGUCUUCCAGAGUGGGUCGGAGCUGGGCAACCACACCAUAGAGCGGUCGGCGUGCGCCAUUGCGCGCCUCGUGUCCGNNNNNNNNNNNNNNNNNNNNNNNNNNNNNNNNNNNNNNNNNNNNNNNNNNNNNNNNNNNNNNNNNNNNNNNNNNNNNNNNNNNNNNNNNNNNNNNNNNNNNNNNNNNNNNNNNNNNNNNNNNNNNNNNNNNNNNNNNNNNNNNNNNNNNNNNNNNNNNNNNNNNNNNNNNNNNNNNNNNNNNNNNNNNNNNNNNNNNNNNNNNNNNACAAACACGGUGGUCACCGUACCCAGCUUGAGCGUCAUGACAGGGCCAUGGGCGAGCGCCAUGCGCGCGAGGUUGUGGUGGAGGUUACCGCCGCGAAGGUGGAGGAGGUGGCCGACUAUGGGCAACGGACAGGGGCCCGGCGGCCAACGCCGCGCACCUCUUCUCAUCACGUACACGUAGUACACAAGUGACGCAGCGAGGAGUGCUAUCAAAACAAGGCACAUAUCAGGGGUCAUUUUUUUCCUUAUGUGCGAUAUGCGCGCGAUGGAUGGUGAUGAGUUGCAGCAGGCUUGCCUAUAUGUUUGAACAAAAUGUAAACGAAUGGUGUCCUAUAUAUAGGGCCUGCCUGCUUGCCAAAGGCAUUUCAAGGGGUUGGUAAUUUCCUCUACUGGGUCCCACCAUAUAUACAUAUAGUAUAUGCAGACAAAGGACACAUGCAGAAUGCUUUUUGUUUUUGUGUGGAUACACAUGCAUAAUACUGGACCCAUUCUUGGCACGCGCGCGGCUAAUUUGCGGACUGCUGGAUUCCUAAUUCAAAUCAAAGGAAUUGACGACUCUUGGGUUUGACACGCGCACGCAAGCCGUCCACCAUAUGUUCGUAUCCUUGCUUGACGGCUGGAAGUAAAAAAGAGUAUGUAUCGAUCCUUGUUCAUGGUCGUGGUCGUGGCUUGCUGUUCUGUUCUUGUCCAAUGAAAAGAAAAAGGAAACUCUACAUACAACGAGCGAAACUGGAAGAGUGGAACCCUGCACGUGCCAUACUACAAGCAAUGAAUGAAACAACAUACAAUAUUAAUUUUAUAUUGUAUAUUUUUAGUAUUGUAAGUAUUAAUACUCUUCGUACAAAUCUGAUGAAAGUUAAAAAAGUUUGACUUUACACAAAUCUUAUAUGUGCAGGAAAAAAACAAAGGGGUACAUCUUGUCAUAUCUUUCAAUAGCAACGUACGUACGUACGUACCCAGCAAGCUCGAUACGGUGAUGUAUUUGUUUUUUCAAGAAAAAAAUUAAUCUAUUCAUCAUCAAUCAUGGCAGCAGAACGAACACUAAAAACAAUAAAAAUUACAUUCAAAUCCAUAAACCACCUAAUGACAACUACAAACAAUGAAACGAACCGAAAGCACGAGGCCGUCAUCACCCAUCCCUCGCUGGAGCCGGGCAAAACUUAUUUUACUAGACAGUUAGAAAGUCAUCAUGCUAAGACACCGUAGGACGAGCGCACCAGAACAGCAACCGCGGCGUCGGAGAGUCUUCAACGGGUUACGAAUUAAUGGAGCAAGGAAGACAAGAUGGGGGAAAGGUGCAUGGCAGACGAGGAAGAUGUCGCGAGGGGUACCGGCAGCAUAGAACAGCGGCGACCAACAUCCCUCUCCUCCGAUCGAUCCCACCGCAUGCAUCGCCUUCCUUGUCUCGAUCUCGCACCUCCGAUUGAUCCAAUCGAGCACCUCACAUCGGGACUGCAUCGUCACUGAAUGGACGCAGAGUGGUCUCUUCUCUGUAUCACUUCACUGAAGCCCAUGAGUUAGAAUGGGCUGGCCAACGACCCAGUUAACCAGAGGGUUGUGUUUCAGCCUAUGAAGUAGCAGCCUAGAGGACAGUUGGGUCAAAUUAAACAAAGUGCAGUAAAAAUCAUUGUUCACAUGAGAUCUGAUGGCCAAGAACAUCCAGAUCACGAAAAUUGUCAGUCAAAAACGCAAAUCGUUGUGAGAGUUUGAUUAAGGCUGAGUGUUAUUGUGAGAUGGAUACAUGCAACAGUGUACUUCACCGAACAGUCGAUGAUGGUCCAUCCAGACCGUUCGCUGCCUUGACGGGUACAUGAAAAAAAAAAUCUAAAUUAGAAUAGGAAUUUUAUCAAGUUGCUAUAACAAGUUUACACGCUAUUUGAACUAAGGACUCGUUUACACGCUAUUUCAACUAAGAUGCUGCCAUAACAUGCAUAUGUAUAUGGCCAAUGCUGGCAAAGUGGAGGCUCAUUUGCUCAUGCGUGGUUUCCUAAGGAAUUACACACGAUGGACCUGCCACAGAGAGGAGGAUCUUCACAAUGUUCAUGACAUACAUGAAGAAGUAGGAAAUGAAGAGACAAAAUAUAAAGAAGAGAUGGAGCACCAACAGACACCCGAACAUGAUGAUGAGGACACACAGUAGCUGUCCCAGAUGAAAGUGACGCCCGAGGCAAACAGUAUAUGCACAGUGCCAAAAUAGUAUAAAAUAUUGUAUCUAUGUCUAUAGACAACAAAGGGUCAGCUGGCCACGUCCCGGCCAAGGCCCUAGCUGUCUGGGGUCUGGGUCCGCAACUGAGGACAGACAUGAUGAAGAGGUAAUCGGACAUGAUGAAGAGGCGGCGAGUCAUGAUGAUCAAAUUUGUAUGAAAAAAUAUUAAAACCUACAAUACUAAAGUUAUACAAUAUAAAAAUUAUUUUCAUGUUGCUUCUAAUGACAUUGGUUUUGUAUUGUGAAUGUUGAUAUUAAAAAAAACAAGAUUUAUAAAGUUUGACUUUAGAUCAAUCUUUUAUGCGAAGUAAAAAAGAGAUGGAAGAAGUAGGUGGAAAAGAAAUAUGGGAGAAAGAAGAAAGUGGAAGGAACCUUAUUCAAUGCUUCCAAGGUGCAUGCAUCCUUGGCUGGUCCUUCCUUGACUUGGCACGUGCACGGUUUCAUUCGUUUCUUUGAAAGUGGAAGUAGGAAGUCAUUAGUACGUCCAGUCGUCAAGCAAGUAAACAACGACCUGUUGCCUGCCUGCAUACAUGCAUGGUGCAUCUGACCGUUGGUGGAUCGAUCGUGCGGACACCAUCCGUUCUUUGAAAGCCAGCAGGCCGCUAAUUAGCCAGCAAGGAAACAAACCAAGAGUCGUCAAUUCCUUUGAAUUUGAAAGCCAUCAGAACGCUAAUUAAUUAGCCGCGUGCCAAGGAUCCAAGUAUUCCGCAUGUGUAUCCUUUUUCUGAAUAUGGCUCCUCCCCUUUCCAUUAUAAAGCAUAACGAAAAUACAAUGUCUUUUGUCCGAAUCAGAGCCAGAAAAGCUAGGGAAAGGAAAGAAGUUAGUUCGGGACAAUACCAAAAAAUCCACCGUCUGCGCCUGUCAUCAGGAACACACACUAUGGAACGAAAACCUGAAGUAUCAUCCAAAACCACCCAAAACAAAACAUUCUAAAAACACAAAGUACCGCAUAAGACCCUAGCAGUCCAACACAACUCAAGAUCAAACAUCAACAGAUCACUGUGGAUCACAGGACUGACAGGAAUAAGCCAACAAAAUCACUUCAAAUCCAGCUCUGCUUUUUCAUCAGCAACAACACUUCCAAAUCACCACUCCUCUCACUUAUCUCCUUCAUCGACUUGCUCACUUGUUUCUGACAUUGGUGGCCCGCACAGCAGCAACAUUUGCGACGCAUUCUCCUUCAGCAUCUCUGCUCCCUUCUUGGUUGCCCUUAUCAUCCCAGGUUUCUGCUGAUCUGCCGAGUAUUUGAUAAAUGCACAAGCUGUGAAUACAAUUUCAAACGGAGUAUUGAUCCACUUUUUCUCAAAGGUGGCACGAUUACGAGUCAACCAAAUUUCCGAGCAAAUUGUUGUCAAACCAACGGUAUAUAUCUCAUUAAAACCAGGUAAGAAAGCAUGAAUCCAUGCAUAGAAUUGCCAAAUAGAGUUAGGACCACAAUCAGUUCCUAGCAUUGCACCCACCGUCCUCCAAACCAGCCUCGCUACAGGGCAUAGAAACAUCAAAUGCUGGACAGACUCCGGUUGUUCAUAAAAAGAACAACGCGGAUCCCCCUGCCAAUGUUUUUUUUCUUCAGGUUAUCCCUAGUUAGUAUAGAAUCUUGGCAAAGUUGCCACAUAAAGAUUUGUAGUUUUAAAGGAAUUUUCGCCCCCCAGAUCCACUUAUAACUGGAACCAGCCAAGCUUCUCUCCACCCAUCGAUACAUGGAUUUAGUAGUGUAUUCUUGAGAACUAUCAAGCUUCAAGUAAAUCGCAUCUUCCUCUCCCAUAUUUAUAUUCUUCAACACAUAUCUUUUUAACUCAUCUCGUUUUUGUAGCAUUUCAUUGGAAAGCCUCCUUCUGAAAGAAGAGAGAGGAUUCAUACUGUUUAUCUUGUCCGCAGUACAGUUUUGAUCCACACAAAUAUCAAACUGAUUGGGAUAUCUAGCUUUUAAGGUAAAAUUAUCACCCAAAUCAUCUAACCAAAGGCUAGCAAUAUUUCCUUUAUUUAAUUUGAUACCUCUACCAGCCAUGUAAUAUUCUUUGACUUUCAGCAGUGCUUUCCAGCAUGGUGAGUCAUUAGUUUUCUGCUUAACCAUAGUCACUGACGACUUUUUGAGAUAUUUAGCCUUCACAAUGUCUUGCCACAGCCCCUCUUUUUUCUAAUUUCCACCACCAUUUUGUCAGAAGGCUUAUAUUAUGUUUUCUCAAGUCCUUCACCCCAAGUCCUCCUUUCACUUUGGACCUGCAUACCCGAUCCCAUUUCACCAUAUGGUAGCUUCUUUUCUUACCAUUGCGAUGCCAAAAGAAUUUUCUCCUAGGUUUAUCCCAUCUCUCCAGAGUAGAUUUGCUUAACUAGAACAUGGACAUGUAAUAAGAUGGUAUGUGUGAGAAGACAACAUUAACUUUAAUAAGUCUGCCACCACUAGAUAAGGUUUCACUAAUCCAGGAUUCCCCAUGGUUAAUGAAUUUGUCAUCAACAAACAGCCAGUCACUCCCUUAAGGCCAUCAUAGCUGACUGGAACACCCACAUAUUUAACGGGAAAACUCCUUAUCUCACAGUUAAACAUUUCAGCAUAGUUUCUCAUUGUCUCAUCAUUAGCACCGACUAAAAAUAUCUCACUUUUCAGAAAAUUAAUUUUCAAACCCGACAUGAUUUUAAAGAAAUAUAACAACAAUUUGAUAUUAAGUGCAUCUCUCGGAUUAUCUUAAAAGUAUAAGAUAGUAUCAUCCGCAUACUGCAAGAUAGCAACCCCAUGUGCUACCAAGUCGGCUGCCAAGCCUGUAAAAAGUUCAUUUUCCUGAGCCUUAAGAACCAUUUUAGUCACGCAGUCAACUGCCAAAUUAAACGGGAAGGGGGAGAGGGGAUCACCCUGUCUCACCCCUUUGGCACUUUGAAAGUAUUCUCCUACUUCAUCAUUCAACUGCACACUCACACUUCUCCCCACCAAAAUUUUCCUAAUCCAUACAAUCCAUUGGGGUUUAAAAUCUCUUUUCUUAUAACACUCUAACAAAAAAUCCCAGUUUACUUUGUCAUAUGCUUUCUUGAAAUCGAGCUUAAGCACACAAUCCCAGUUUUUUUUUCGAGCAUAAGAAUGAUGCAAAAUCUCAUGGAGUGACAUAAUCCCAUCCAUAAUAUCUCUUCCUUUUAUGAAUGCAUUUUGGUGUCUACUAAACAGAAUAUCAACAAAAGGUUCAAGUCUGAUAGUAAGCACUUUAGUUAUCAACUUAUACACGCAUCUAAGCACACAAAUAGGCCUGAAUUGUUGGAUUUUAUCAGCCCAACCACCUUGGGGAGUGAUGUGAUAAUACCAUAAUUGAGCCUAUCCACGUCAAGUUUAUUCUCAUAGAACUAACCAAAAAGCAACAUCGCAUCAUUUUUUUCAACAUCCCAACAGUAUUGAAAGAAUUCAAUUGGAGUAUUAUCAGGACCAGGGGCUUUGUUGUGUUUCAUAGAGAAAAGAGCAUUUUUAAUCUGAGUGUCCGAGAAAGGUCUCAAGAGUAUAAAGUUGUCUAUAUCAGUCAAUUUUUCAUGCUCUUUCCACAUAUUACUAUCCACUUCACACAAGUUUCCAUGCGUAGGGCCAAAGAGUUCUUUAUAGAAAUCAGUGGAAUGUUUAAGCAAGUUUUUGUUCCCUUUUAUAACCAUAUCCCCGCAACUAAGAGAAACAAUUGUAUUUCUUCUUCUCCUACCAUUCACAGUCCUGUGAAAGUACUCAGUAUUGCUAUCUCCCUUAAGCAGCCAUUUAUCAUGGGAUUUUUGCAACCAUGAUACUUCCUCUUCUAUUAAGAGAUUAUUUAAUUCCACCGAAAGUUAACCUUUUUUGCAAUAAAGCUCAGGUGUUAAAGUAUAUGUCUCUUGCAAUCUUUCUAGAUGUCCGAGCUCCUCUCUCGACCACUUCCUUCUUUUUCUAGCCUUACCAAAAUUGUUCGAACCCCAACCUUUAAAAAAACUUUUGAAUCUCUUCAACUUGAUUUUCAUAAUGUCAAUAGGAUUUCUAGAAUACACAGGUCUCAACCAUAUUUUGGCCACAAGAGGUAUGAAAUCAGGAUUCUGCAACCAAUUUAAAUCGAAUUUGAAUCCCCUUUUUUAGUAAGAAUGGGAGCAUUAUCAUCAGUAUUUAAAAUCAGAGGACAAUUAUCUGAGAUCUCUCUCACUAUCUACCCGACAAAAGUAAAAGGAUACCAACAUUCCUAAGAAUUGCACAUAAACACCCUGUCCAAUUUUUCUAGGGUUGGAUUUUGCCGAUUGUUAGACCAAGUAUAUUGGCCGCCACUCAUAUCUACCUCUCUCAAGGCGAAAGUAUUGAUAAUGGAAUUGAACAAGUCUGAAGAAUGACCCAAUUUGGUUUUUUAAUUUUUCUCGUUCGCAAAUCUCGGGAUAUUAAAGUCUCCUCCUAUUAUAUAUGGGCAUGAUAUAUCUCCACACAUAUUUGAAAGUUCUGUAAGGAAUUCUUCCUUAUGUUCCUCAUGUGUAGAACCAUAAACCACCAUUAUGCAACAAUUAUUUUUCAUGCAUUUAUCCCACAACUCAAGCUUCAUGAUAUAUUUGCCCGCCACACAUUUCUUAAUAUCGAGGAUAUUAUUCUUGACCCCACACAAUAUGCCCCUAGAUUUUCCUUCAGAAGGUACCAAUUCCAACAAAAAUUAUCCCCAGGAUCAAAUUCCUCAGGAAUUUAGAGGAAAAGUCAUUUUUCAUUGUUUUCUGAAUGCCUACAAAGUCAAGCUUAAAGUCUCUAAUCAGAUCACACAAAUAUGUUGCCAUACCUCUCUUCCCGAUCCCCCUGCAAUUCCAAAAGAGACUAAUCAUUUUUUCUUAUGUUCUGGAGAUUGAGUCUUGUUGCCAGGUUUACCAGGAACCAUGGUCUUACCUGCAACUCCACCCAACUUUUGGUUCUGAGUUCUAGUCAAAGGUUUAGAAAUCACCACAUUAACUUUCUUUUUUUCUUUUUUCCUGGAUUUGACAAUUCUAAAUCCUUCCUCAUCCAGGUCCCCCUCAUCCACCCAAGAUGUGUUCAAAUGAUAUGAUUAUACCGCAUCAUUAGUAAUAAACAACAUUUUCUCUUGCUAUUUUUCAUUGUUAUUAAUUUUCUUAGCAAUAUUGGCUCUAGAUUUCUCAAGUUCUCUAAUAACAUCAAUAACAGCAAAAUUAUCAUCAGGAAUAUUCACUCCCAUUUGCGUAGCAGUGGAAAUAAUUUCCAUAUUUGAAAGGACAUCAAAGGAAUUGCCAGGAAGUAUUUCAUUACCUUGCAGGUUCCUCUUCUUAGCCAUCUUCUCAGCCCUGACGCCCACGUGUUCCAUAUUGAUCCCAGCUGUCCUCUUGCUAAAUCUAGUAUGAACUUCUUCUAUAGCAGGAGGACUAGGUAUUACAUCCAUAUUUUCAUUGGAUGUAACAGGGGACUGCACAAAGUAAACCUGAUCUUUUUUCUGACAUGAAUUGUCAUCAUGUUCAAGCUUGGUCACAAUAGGUUCUCCAACACAAGCUUCCAGAUAAGAUGAUUUUUUUUGCCAAUCACUCGACUCAGAACAAUUUGCAUCGAAUUCACAACAAUCUUAUCAUAAGAGAUAAUUUCAGGGGACAUUUUUUCCCUAAGCUGGUUUUUUUUCUGCUUCAGCAGCCAUAGCAUCUAUAAGCAACAUAUUAUCCACUUCUUCACUCUCCUCCUCGAUUGGAUCUCUUCACUAUUGUUAUGGUUCUUUUCAUUUUCCUCGGUUUCUUUUAAAGGUCCCAAGUUCAUAUUCUUUACAUUUCUCCCUCCAGCCGUACCAGGGGGAGUCGAAGACUCCUCCAUAGUAGAUGAAGAUGCAAUUUGCCCUUCCAGGCGCUUGUUCUCAUUAAGUCUAGCUCUUUUUGGAGAGGUUCCCCCAUUAGCCUCCAGCUGUACAUUCACUUUUUCUUUUGGUGGGUUUUCACAAGUAUCUUGUCUACAAAGAAGAAAAAAUCAUAGAAAUGCCCCCCCCCCCCAACACUCCCUCUGCUGAAGCAGGGAUAUCUUCAGCAUCUCAGCAUCCCAAUUUUAUCCUCACAGACUCAGGUCUGUUAAUAGUAGCUUUGUCAAUUUCCAAUGUCACCCCAACCAAAGACCCCACAUAUGCAAUAUUUUUCUCAUGCCUUUUGUCCAGAGGGAUAUUGCUAACGUUGACCCAAGCAACGUUAAGUAUACCCUUGGCAUCCACUGAUUCAGACCAUUUCCUUAGAUUUAUAACCACACCACACCUUUUAGCAUUCAUACUCUCAGCAAAACAAGCCUUAUCCACAUCUCUAGGUGAAGGAAACCUCAUCACAAACGUGUUUGGUCCAAUGGAUCUAGCAGAGCAUCUCCAGUUUGUGUUAAUAUAAGCAUUGAAGAAUUCUUCUAGCUGCCUCCUAGAAGCGUGCCCUCCUACAACAGAUAUUACAAUAAAUCUAUUCCCGUUUGUGGUCUGAUUUGGGGUGUUGUGGUCAUGAAUGUAAAAGAAGCCCUUCCCUCUAGCUUGGAAUCUGCACAUUGGAGCCACACAAGCCCAAGGAAGAAUUGCAAACGGGUGCUAGAUGACCAUGAUUACCGCAUCUACCACAUAAUGCACGUCUGCACGUAGACAAUAGACAGGCAGGUGCCCAGGUUCUUUGCAAGUAACGCAAACCUUAGCACCUUCCACUAGUGGGGAGGGAUUCCUGUUGCCGGGUGUGGGGUGACGUCGCUCUUGAGCUUGAUAGACGCCUUGUUGUUGUCGUAGAUCUUGUUGUUGACGACCACCCGCAACUCCGCCAGCCACGGUUUGGUUGUUGUUGUCGCCCCACUUCUCAGAUCCGCGGCCACCUCCUUGCUCCAUAGCCGCGGCUUCCCACCUUGCCUUGUCGGAUGAUCCAUGGCGCGGAUCCAUGUUGGAUGAGUUUUGGCCACCGUCGUCGAUGUCGCGCAUCCACACCAGGUUACGGCCACCCCCGCCACCACCACGUCACAGCCUCCACCUCGCCCGAAUCGGCCACCACCUCGCCCGAUGCGCCCUCCCCACCGUCUUCCACUCGAUUGACGCGGUUGCCACCCUCUCGCCCGCCAUGGCUUGAGCCCGUGGUGGAGAGGCAGCAACCUGCGCAAAGGAUCUCUCAUCUCCUCCCACCUUCCUCUCCCACCAACCGAAAGAGGAAGAAACCCUAGGUGGCGAAACCGCGUGUGUAUCCUAAAAAAAGGUAUUCUGCAUGUGUCCUUUGUAUGCAUGUAUAUAUAUAUGGUGGGACCCGGCAGUGAAAAAUACCAACCCCUUGAAAUAUCAGUUUCAUUCGUUGCUUGUAGUAUGGGCACGUGCACGGUUCCACUCUUCCAGUUUAGUUCGUUGUAUAUGUAGAGUUUUUCUUUUCAUUCGACAACAACAGCAAGCCACGACUACGACCACGACAUACUAGUAUUUUUUACUUCCAGCCGUCAAACAAGUAUUCGAAUUGUGGACGGCUUGCGUGCGCGUGACAAACCAAGAGUCGUCGAUUCCUUUGAUUCGAAUUAGAAAUCCAGCAGUUCGCUAAUUAGCCGCGCGCGUGCCAAGAAUGGAUCCUCAGAACACAAAAACAAAAAACAUUCUGCAUGUGUUCCUUGUCUGCAAAUAUAUGUAUGUAUGGUGGGACCCAGUAGAGGAAAAUACCAACCCCUUGAAUUUGAAAUGCAUUUGGCAGACCCUAUAUAUAGGACAUCAUUCAUUCACAGUUUGUUCAAACAGCAUCAUCAUCCAUCGCACAUCGCACAUUAUAAGGAAAAAAUGACGCCUGAUAUGUGCCUUGUUUUGAUAGCCCUCCUCGCUGCAUCACUUGUGUACUACGUGUACGUGAUGACAUACACCAGAAGGGGUGCGCGGCGUUCACCGCCGGGCCCCUUUCCGUGGCCCAUAGUCGGCAACCUCCUCCACCUUCGCGGCGGUAACCUCCAUCACAACCUCGCGCGCAUGGCGCUCGCCCAUGGCCCCGUCAUGACGCUCAAGCUGGG